UUUUUUUUUUUUUUUGUUUCCCAAGGUAUCUCCACUGCCGGCAGCCGUGAGACUAAUCCUUCGUUCCUCGAUCAACGCAUUUUGCGGUAGGAAACUAGCCACAAAAUUUACUCCAUUCGCCGGAGACGAGUGAUGAUAGAUUACUAUUGCACUUAUUGCUCCUCAAUAAUAGGAGAAACUUAAUAUGAGUGUGCUUGCACCUACUGUCCACACAUUACAUGUAAAAUUACUCGACAUUACAUGUAAAAUUACUCUUGAGGUUUGAUGUUUUACCUGAGCUGACAGUCUAUCGAAAAUAUUUUCAUUAAAUUUUAUUUGUGAAAUUACACUGAAUAUGUCGCCGUUAUUUGAUGUUAAUCAUGUUUUGUUAAUCCAUAUAGAUUAUAGUGUUAGACCAUCUAAAAUUUCUCAAAAAUGUCAAUAUUUUAUACACUUUUGCUUCAUGUAUCAAAAUGGGGCCAACUAAAGUUCCAAAAGUUAUCAUUCUUUUACUCUAUAGGAGAGAGCUAAAUAAUUAAAUAUUAGAUAUAGUUUUCAAGAUUCCAGCUUUUAUAAAGAUAGUGUUGAAACACUUUUUUAUCUUGUCAGGGUAAGAUAUAAUUUAUAAGUUUGUAUUAAUUAAAAUAAAUUCCAUCACCUUGAGAUAGCCAAAAUCUUGAGAUAUUGCUUAAAGAUAUGAAAGAUUGAUAAUGGUAUUGAAGUUUGAGAGUAAAUGGAUAUAGUUGGUGAAAACAAAUGAUGGGUUGGCUCUUUCGUCUUCUUCUUCUUGUUAUUAUUAUUAUUAUUAUUAAUUAUUAUUAUUCUUAUUCUUAUUAUUCUUAUUAUUUUUAUUAUUAUUAGUUUAUUUUAAAGCAUUGAUUCGAUAUUUCGAAACUUGUAGUUGAGUAUCAUCGAGGAUUAAGGUAAAAAGUUAAUAUGUAGUUGAGUGUUCUUGCAAUUAGUGUGGGAGAGGCGAGGGAUAGCCUCCCCGGGGCGGACCGAUAGCCAAUUUUUUGGUACUCCAGCAUCCGUUAAAUCGAUGUAGACUAAGUAUAAUUAUAUUGAAAAAGUAUUAUUAGGUUUAGAAAAGCUGAGUGCUUUAGUUUGCAGGCGGAACCUUAAAGCUUUGGGCGUCAAUAUAUGUGUUCGAACCUUUCGAACACCACAAUCCCUAAAUUCUGGGUUUGCCACUGUAGCCUCCUCCUCUGUCAUUUCCUUUCCAGUACUUUAGUCAUCACGUAGUUUCUUAUUCUUCAAUAUGCAUUGCUAUAUGUCGUUGCACUUAUUUUGUAUCUUGCUAAUUUACGUUCUUAAUUUUCUCACAAUUAAUCCUGUGUCACAUACUUUUCUUUUGAACCGAGCAUCUAUCAAAAACAUCUCUCUAUUAAGGUUCGUGUACCCUUCUCGGACCUUACUUGCGAGAUUAUAUUAAAUAUUAUAUAUGUUGUUGUAUCCGACAUUCGAAACUUACCCACAUGACUAAUCAAAAUUGUGCCGAGUUAAAUUAAGGAUGAUGAAAUCUCAACCAUCCCGUCAUUAUCUUUUGGUUUCUAAAUGUCAUACCAAACCAAAUCAAAAAUAAUUUGGUGCUUAAUUUGAAAGAAAGAGAUAUAAAGUCAUGAUAUGGAAGGUAUGAUAAUUCAAAUUAAGAUUCAUUAUAGUUACAAUAAUUGCUCUGACAUUAUGAAGAUAUUAAAUAAUUCUAUCAUUCUUAUUGGCUUUAUUUUUUUUAUUUCUUUGUUUUUUGCAAAAAUUAUUUUUGAAAGCAAAAAUAUUUCUCAUUUAGCAGAAAAUUAAAGAAUCUCUUCUUAUUUUCUUUGCAUUAUUAACCUAGUUUAACUUAUGAUAGCAUAUUAACCAUCAUUUUUUUUAAUUCUAAUCACAUAGAUUUAUAUUUGUAAUUAUCUUAUAAGAAACUUAAUUAAUUGGAUUUAUACUUUUCAGACAGUUAAUGCAUAUAUUUAAACUCUUAAAUCUUAAAUAUAUUUUUAUUUGUGGGCCCUAAUUAUUUUCGUUAUGUCCGGAGUUAAUUACGGAAUGUCAUGAUUAAGCAUCCUUUUUAAUUUAAAAAAAAUAAUCAAAAUCCAUUAUUCUUUAUUGUUUUUUCUAUGAUUUUUACAUGUUUGACAUAAUUAAAGUGAUUCUGGUUGACUUUAUAUUAAAGGAAGAUUAUAUUCAUGUCUAUUCAUUUAUUUAUUUUUCCUUUUUUCAGAAUCAUUUCCAUUCGUACGUUUCUAUUAUGGUGUUUUAAAUUAAAUAGAGUAAAACAUAUAAUAAUUUUAUGCUUUUUUGGUAUUGUUUUCUUUGUCAUCUGAUUUAUCGUCUCAUAGUUUGCAACUAAUAGUUUCCACAUGACGCCCUCUCGAUUUCGAACCCAACAAUUUCACGGGUCCUAUUACCCCUGAACUAAAUUUUAGCUUAUUUUUAUCAUUCUUUUUAACUGAGGUGACUCCUUUUGUCAACCUUUUUAGCUGACGUGACACCUUUGAUGUAGAACCCAUUUUAUAUAAUAAAGGUGUCAUGUCAGCACAGAAGGGUGACAAAAAUAUGCUAAAAUUGAGUUGAGGAGAAUAAUAAGACCUGUGAGGUUAAAGUCUGUCGCAACAACUUUGGUCAUAGUUCGAGAGGAUAAUAAAUAUUUAUCUCAAUUAAAUAUAUUAAACAAAAAGGAGUUUUGAUGCAAUGAUAAAGCUGUCUCUGUGGAUCUGUAGAUCACGAGUUCGAGAUGUGGAAGCAGUAACUAAUGCUUGUAUUAGGCAGAUUGUCUGUAUCAUACCCUUUAGAGAGCGAUCUUCAUGAAAGUAAAUAUAAAUAGUAUAUAUUUGCAACGAUGUUUUCAUUUUCACUUUAUUUGUGUAGAAAUAAAUAUAAUUAGUCGGCUCUAAAAUGGGUACGGGACACCGGAAGGGAAACAAAAAAGAUAAAUGUAAACAUAUGCCACAAAGAAUAAAUCAUAAAGUCUUAAUCAAUUAGUGGUAAACAUUACAAUAUUAAGGAACCAUAGUUGAAUUGAAACAAUAGGUAAUUGCUUGAACUAAUUACAAAAAUAAUAUACAAGUGAUUAAUUUGAGUUCUAACACCCCAUGUGGUGUAUGAAAUUGGCUAUAAAUUAAACAAUAAGUCCCUUAUGGGAAUAAUUAAUGAUAAGCAUCAUGAUUAGCCAAAGUAAUCAUUGAAUUAAUCAACAAUACAUGCCCAGUGCAAUCUCAUAAAUGCGGUGUAUGCCGACUGUACCUCUAUGGGGUAGAAAGGUUGUUCCAGUAGACUUUCAGCUCAGACAAAUACUACAGUUUUAGAUAAAAAGAUUCGAAAUAUACCUAAUUUUUUGGCGAAAUUUGCUGUAACAUGCCUCAACUUUGUGCGGGUCCUAUGACCCUCUUUAACUAUUUAUUACCGUAUUUUUAUGACAUAUAUUUGUCCACCUGGUCCAUUGCAUGAUUACACACACUGAACGUGUAAGAGUCUGAAGUGGUCCAGCUGGACAAAUAUAUGCCACAGAAAUACGGUAAUAUAUAGUCGAGGAGGGUCAUAAGACCCCCGCAAAAUUGAAGCGUGUUACAACAAAUUUUGCCAAAGUUUAGGUAUAUUUCUUGACUCUUUUUCCACAGUUUUACCUGAUGGUCUUUCGUUCAUAGUUCAGCCUUCAUUUGUGCUGUGCUUACAUUGCCUACACUCAACAAAGCCAAAGUAUUAGAUUUACACUAUUAUGUCACUCAUCAAGUAAUUACAUUUACUUGUUUCGACUUUUCAAAAAUAUUGCCGGAUAUGUGUUGUAUCCUUCGAAAAUGUAUGACAACAUAGGACUAAUCGGCAACAAAUUGCCGAGUGUGUUGUCACGUCCUCCAAAAAUGCAUAACAUAGAACUAAUUAGCAACAUGUUGCCGAGUGUAUCAGAUCCUUCAAAAAUGCAUAAAACACAUGACUGAUUAGCAACAUGUUGCCUAGUGUCGGGUGUGUGUCGGAUGCUCCCAAAAUUGCAUAGUAAUAUUAGACUAAUACAUUUUGGGAGACCAAACAUGGGCGCGACUGCGACUGUACUUUCGGAGGCUCCAAGUAACCUAGAUAAUUACUUGUAAAUCUUUAUGAUAAGUGUUGCUCCAAAUGAUAAUCUGAUAAAAAAGAUAACUGACCUACUAAAAUACAUUAGUGUAAAAAAAUCCUUACGCUGUCGAUGUAUAUAAGUUAAAUCCGUAAGGGUAUACUAACCCGAACAGUUCUGUGCUUGAAUUUGGCCAAACCCCAUAUGGAUAAAACUAUGAAGAUCAUCUUCAAAGAAUGUUGGAACCUAAAAAAAAAAACAAUCAAAUCACCUUUGUCUAAGAGAAAAACUAGGAAAAAUAAUAUUUUUACAACAUUGUUGCUCGGACAUUUUGAAAAUGUCGAUACAUUCGUGUUGGACUCUUCAAAAGUAGUUCAUUUUCGGAGAAUCCGACACGGGCGCGACAAUAUUUUUGCAGAGUCCGAGCAACAUAGGUCACAGUUCCUAGCAAUUCGUGAUUACCUGAGGUGUUUGUUCCACAAGACCAUCCAAAUUCUGUAUAUUUGGCCCUAGUUGAGAUUGAAAUCCAUAUGGAAAUUCUUGCACUGAAGUUUGCGAUGAAUUCAUGUUAUGAUGCAACGAUCCAACGGAUUGAAACAUCUAACAUGCAGAAUAAUUUUUACACUAUCAGAUCAAGUACAAGAUCAUAACUAUAGGUAACAUUCAUGACAAGCGAAAUUACACUAGCAACUUGAAAAUAAAGACAGGUAACCUACUACGACGACUUAAAAUAUACUGACAGUGUGAAUAACAUCAUGAGUUUGUAUGACUUACAUUCUUGGAGGUAACAGACUCCGCGUUGAAGUCCAUUGUUGGAUUCAUAUUAGAUAACUUCAUCGAGAGGAACUACACGAAAGUACACAACUUCCAUCAUUUGGAAAGAUUUACUAUCAAAGAAUCGCUAAUUUCAGACAGACGUCCUGUUGGAAUUUGGCUCGUCAGCAGGAUAUUACCGAUGGAAGACCAUCAGAAAAUGUUACUGACGAGCCAAUUUCCGAUGGAUUUUGGAACACUCGAAAGCACAAGACAACUAAGUAAUUUACCUCGACUUGACACUGGAGGGAUUGUACAUAGUUAAUGAUCUCAUCAAGCAUCACAGCUUUUCCAGUCACCUAAAGAAAAAAAAAAACAAUGAAAUUUCCAUAUCACAAUUCUGCAUAUUUUCUCUUAAAAUUAACAAAACAAGUAAAAGACCAGGCCAGCUCGGUGUACUAAAGCUCCCGUUAUGCGCAGGUCCCAGAAAGGGCCAGACCACAGGUUAUAAGGGCCAGACCACAAGUAAAAGGACAGCUCGGUGCACUAAAGCUUCCGUUAUGCACGAGUCUCAGGAAGGGCCAGACCAAAAGUAAAAGAGCAGCUCGGUGCACUAAAGCUCCCGUUAUGCGCCGGUGCCGGAAGGGCUAGACCACAAGUAAAAGAGCUAUAUAUAAUUCUCUUAAAACAAUUACUUUAUUGCAGCCAGGUACAAGAUCUUGUAAAAACUUCAUUCUUUCACCAAUUUUCUCUCUUCUCACCUAUCCAAUCAAAAGAAUAAUUUAAAAACAUUAAAUACAUCAAAAUAAUAUAAAAACAAAAUAAUAUUAAAAAAUAAUUUAAAAUUUGAUAUUUUUUUUUUCUAAAAAAUACCCUUUCAGCAAGACUAUGUGCAUCUGUGGCUUGGCCUCUUCUAGCUCUAACAUGAAUAUAAUCCUUUGAUGGUUCUUGAGGCUUUUGAUUUUCUUCAUUUUGUUCUUUAUCACUUCCAAUUUUUUCAUCACAUUUGAUUCUUUUGGAACUUGAUUCAUUGUUUUGUGUUGAAACCUGCAUAAAAUUAAGUAGCAUUAAUUUCAAUUGUCUACUUGUGGUAAUCAAUAUGAUUUUAAAUUCUAUGAAUGGUUGAUCACAAUAGCUAUGUUGUUCGGACUCUACAAAAAUAUCAUCGGAUAUGUGUCAGAUCCUCAUCAAAUCGUUCAAAAGUAGCAAGCACAAUAUCAUUUUUGGAAAGUUCGAGCAAUAUAUAACACGUGUUAAAAUUUAGAGUAGUGUAAGAAGCCUUUACACUGUUGGUGUAUACAAUCAAAAUCAAGAAUUGGAAAUCCAACACGGGCGUGGCGAUCAUUUUUGAAAAAUCUGAACAACAUAAAUCACAAGUUAAAAUUUAGAGAAAAUGAACUGUUUCCAUCCUAAACUAUACAUGAAAUUGCUGAGACACACCCAAACUUUAGGAGGGUCCUAUUACCCCCCUCGACUAAUUAAAAUCGUAUUUUUGGCAACCUUAGUGCCUACGUGGCGCACACGUGGUACAUAUGUGUGCUUACGUGGACCUUCAGUGUGUUGAUUCACUGAUGUGCCACGUAGGCACUAAGGUUGCCACAAAUACGGUUUUAAUUAGUCCAGGGUAAUAGGACCCUCCUAAAAUUCGGGUGUGUCUCAACAAUUUUGUGUAUAGUAGUUCAGGAAGGAAACAGAGCGUUUUCCCUAAAAUUUACUGUAGUGCAAGAAACCUUUACACUGUUAGUGUACAUAAUAAAAUCCAAUCAAAAUCCAGAAUGAAAAUCCAACACGGACGCAACAUCAUCUUUGAAAAGUUCGAACAACAUAGAUCACAUGUUAAAAUCUACUGUAAUGUAAGAAAUCUUUACGCUGUCAAUGUAUAUAACUAAAAUCAAGAAUUGAAAAUCCAACACGGGAGUGACAUCGUUUUUGAGAAGUUCGAACAACAUAGAUCACAUGUGUAAAGUUUACUCUAGUGUAAGAAAUAUUUACGCUGUAAGUAUAUAUAAUAAAAUCCAAUCAAAAUCAAGUAUUGAAGAUUCAACAUGGACAUAUUUUUAAAAAGUUCGAACAACAUAGAUCACAUACGUAAAAUUUACUAUAAUGUAAGAAAUCUUUACACCGUUAGUAUAUAUAUUAUAUAAUAAAAUCCAAUCAAAAUCAGGAAUUGAAAAUCCAACAUGGACAUAUUUUUGAAAAGUUCGAAAAACAUAGAUCACAUGUAUAAAGUUUACUUAUAGUGUAAGUGUAUAUAACUGAAAUCUAAUCAAAAUCAAGAAUUGAAAAUCCAACAUUGGCAUCAUUUUUGAUAGUUCGAAUAACAUAAAUCACAUGUGUAAAUUUAUUAUAGUAUAAGAAAUCUUUAUUCUAUCAGUGUAUAUAACUAAAAUCCAAUCAAAAUCAAGAAUUGCAAAAUCCAAGAACUUAGCAUUAAAAAAAGAAAGAAAGAAGAGAAAUGAGUUAAUUACAUUUUCAUUCUUGGCUAUGAUUUCUUUAGCUUUCCUCUUUGGAAUUGAUUUUCCCUUCAUGGAAUUUGCAUCAUUUUGACAUUUAAUUCCAAUUUCUUCAAUUGGAAUUUGUUCACAAACUGAUGAAUUCUCUCUUGAAUCUCCAAAUUCAUUUUCUUUGAUACACAUGUUUCUUGAAAUUCUUGAAAGUUUGCAACUUUCCAAAUUGUUACUAGCAAAAUAACUUGGAAAAUUUGCCAAAUUAAGUCUUGGAGGAGAACUCAUUGGAGUAGUAUAGCAAGAAUUAUUAUUACUAUCAACAAAAGAAUUUGGUGAAAUUUCACCAGAAUUACAAAUGCUUCCUAAUUUACCAAUCACUUCACUUAAUACAAAGUUGUCACUAAAAUUGUUGGUAUUACUAGACACAAUAAUAUUAGAUUCAAAUGGAUCAUUUUGAUAAAAACUAGUACUACAAUUCAACUCAUUCAUUGUGUUGACAUUGUUCAUAAACAAACUCUUCUUGUCCAUUUAGUACAUGUGAUAAGUGGAAAAUCAAGAAAAGUGAAGACUACAAGAAGAAUUUAGUUUAGUAUUAGUACUAAAUUUGGAAGAAAUGAGAUGGAAAAUGAAGUUAAAACAAAGAAAAAAAAAUGUGAUUGUGACUUUGGUAUUUGAAUUCACUCAAAUGGAGAAGGAAUUGAGAUCAAAGAAAAUGAAAGAGAAGUGGAGAGGAAGGUGGAAAGGAAGUAAGGGAAAAAGAUAAAAGAAAGGGAAAUGUUUGUGUGACCUUUUUAAAUUAGAAUAAAAAUGUUCCUUCUUUUAAAGAUUGACCUUGAUGUCCGGAUCAGUUUUUACGCAUCUCAACUAAUUUAAUUUUAGAGUAAACCAACUAGUAAUUUUUAAACUAUGAUCAAAUUUGUUACGACACGCUUCAACUUCACGGAGGUCCUGUUACCUCAACAACAACAACAACGAACCCAGUUAUUCCCACAAAAUGGGGUCUGGGAAGGGUAAGAUGUACGCCGUCCAUACCGCUAUCUCCGAAAAAGUAGAGAGACUAUUUUCGAUAGAUCCCCGGCUCAAAACACAGAAUACUAAACAAAGUCGUAAUGAAACAUAAAACAGGAUGGAGGAGGUCCUAUUACCACCCAAACUAAAUUUAAACUUAUUUUUGUCAACCUUUUUAGCUGACGUGAAGCCUUUGACGUGAGCCCUAUUUUAUGUAAUAAAGGUGUCACGUCAGCACAAAAGAGUGACAAAAAUACGCUAAAACUCAGAUCAGAAGGAUAAUAGGACCCCCUGUGAAGUUGAAGUGUAUCGUAACAACUUUGACUAUUGUUCGGAGGGGUACUGGAUGUUUAUCUCUUCUUUUAAAGAUGAUCCUGAUGUCCGGAUCCGUUUGUAUGCUUCUUGACUAAUUUAAAUCUACAGGAUAGUCACAUUGUUAUAGCUUGUUAAAACCUACAUUAGUAAAAUAAAAACUUUAUAUUAUUGAAAUAUAAUUUAAAUCUUGCUUUAUUUUAGGCAUAAAACAUAAUUAGAUAUUUAAAUUUAAUUUCAAUUGAUAAGUACACACUUCAACUUUGAGAGAGCACAUCUAGAUAUUUUAACUUGGUCUAAAUUGUCAACUAAACAUUCCAAGUCGCCUUCGUUGUAUCUUGUGGACAUCUAAUGCUGACGUGAUACAUAAAUUCCGGAAGUAGCUAGAUGAUCAUUUUGUAAGGUGCCUAUUGGAGUGUUCAACCGACACAAUGAAGAUGAUCGAGGUGUCUAGAUGUACAUACUCAAGUUUGAAUAUUUAAUUGCCAGUUGAAAUCAAAUUAGCAUACGCAUAUAUCUAUCAUUUAUGUAAUAUGGAUUUUAUUUAUUUACUUGUUAUUAGUGUGAACAACAUAAAUCCCGACAGUUUGGAGCUUAGUUACAGAAAAUCUCGAUAUUUUACAUAAUUACUGAAAUUUCGAUUUUGGGUCUGUCGAUAUAUAUAAUUAGCUCCCGAUACAUCCAACGAAGAUACAUUUUUUUCUUUGUAAAGAUACAUAAUUAGCUUUUGAUACAUUUUUUUUUAUUUUGGGUCUGUUGAGGUACAUAAUACAUCCAACAAAGAUACAUUUUUUCCAUUGUAAAGAUACAUAAUUAACUUUCGAUAGAUUUUUCUUAUUUGAGGUCUGUCGAGAUACAUAAUUAGCUCCCUGAUACAUUCGACGAAUAUACAUAAUUAGCUCUCUGAUAUAUCCGAUGAAGAUACAUAAUUAGUUUAGAUUAUUGUAGUUAAUUCGUAAGAAUAGACAUUGCAUAAAUAUGACAAAUGAAGAUGUAUGUUUAUUUUAUGGCAUAAUAAAUGAACAUGACCUUUAACUUGACAUUAAAUUAUAACAAUGACCUUUAACUUUAUCAAUGCACAAGUAGGUCCUUCAAUUAUACAAAAGCUGAAAAAAAAACACUUUAAUCCUACCUGACAAAAUGCGUGUAUACACUCAAAACCAUGCGCAUCGGAGUUAGAAUUGAAGUAUUUUUUAUUCAGCUUUUGUAUAGUUAAAGGGCCUAUUUAUACACUGACAAAGUUAAAGGUCAUAUUUAUAAUGUGUCUUUUUUAUUAGGUGGCAGCAUCUGAGUGGAUUACUAAUCCACGUAGGAUCGAUUGAGUUUCACGCAUGUAAGUUGCAGAAUUGAAGUGUUUUUUUUUUCCAGUUUUUAUAUAGUUAAAGGGCUUACUUGUGCACUUACAAAAUUAAAGGUCAUAGUUAUAAUUUGAUGCGAAGUUAAAGUUAUUGUUUAUAUAUUAUGCCUUAUUUUAUUUCCCCUUGUUAUUAUACACAUAUGUAAUGCUCAUUUUUCUUCAUAAUUACAUAAUAUAGCAAGUUGUAUUUUGUAUUUUUGUAAACUGUUGCUAUAAAAAUACAAAUACAUAUAAAUACAUAUGCUACAAAAUGUAAUUUGAUAAAAAUAUUGUUAUUUUUUGUAAUUUAAUACUUAAGUAUGCUAUUUUAUGUAUUUUUUUUUUCCUAUAUAUAUAUAUAUAUAUAUAUACUCCAUAAAAGCCGGCGGUGGUGUGGGAGUGAUGUUUAACUUUAAGGUCAAACUUGCUUAUGUUUUAUUUGUUAAAAUGUGAUAUCAAAAAAAUGUCAUAAUAUAUAAGUGUCUUUUUUGGGUUCUAUCGAAAACAACAUCUCUACUUCUUCGAAGGUUGUGGUAUGGACUGCGUACAUUUUACCCUUUUCAGAUCUCAUUUGGUGGGAAUUCACUAGGUAUGUUGUUGUUGUUUUAUAUAAGUGUGUUUUUUUAACUUCGCCUCAGUUGGUAUUGAUGUCCUUCAAUUUUGGGUGCGUAAGGAAAUACUUAUAUUUGUAUAAAAUUAAACAAUUAGACACAUGCGUCUUAUGUAACGUCCUACGUGGCAUCGGAUGUAUAUUAUGUCACAUCUCACAUAUGAUGUGUGUGUUUACUUGUUUAACUUUAUACAAGUUUAAGUGUUUGUGUACAUCAGAAGUUGGAGACAUAAAUACCAGGUGAGACCAAUGAUGAUGAUAAUAAUAAUAAUAAUAAUAAUAAUAAUAAUAAUUUUCUUAGAAAAAAAAAUCUUUUGGGUGUAGAGUUGCUAGGAAAUAGGAUUAUGGUGGUUAGUACAUACUGGCAAACAACCCUAUUACACUGGCAUUUUUGUCUUUAGGGACACCAUUAAUGAUUAAUGGGCCAGUUAAUUAAAAAUAACUAUUUAUCCCUGGUUAAUUCUCUUAAAAAGGAUAUUUAAUUAAUUAAAGAAAGGAUGAGUCAGAAGUUUUGGUUUAAUUAUUAAUUAAUCAAGUGUAACAUGGAGAAAAGUGGAGGUACCAAAUAAAUAAAUAAUAGAACCCUUUAGUAAUAUUUCAAUAUUUUUGUUUCUUCUUUUCUUCUUAGUUAUACUAUGGCCUUCUCUUUUUUCUUUCUUGACAGCUCCAUAUAUACCUUACAUUUAUACAAGAGGCUGUUUUCUUGAUUUGAACCCGUGAUCUCCUAAUCACAUGCAGAGGCGGAGUCAGGAUUUCUACUGAGGGGGUUCAAAAUCUGAAGUAAAACUCAACGAAGGAGGUUCAACACCUACGAUAUAUACAUAAAAAUCAUUUUUGUCAUGAAUGAAUAAUAUAAUUUUUCGUCGAAGGAGGUUUGGAUGAAUUUCCUAUUACUAGGCUGGCUCUGCCUUUGAUCACAUGACAACAAUUUUAUCAGUUGCUCCAACUCACUCGAUCAGUCGCCCCAUUUAGAUUUCUAUCCGAUACUAAAAAAGUAUAUUGCUGGUUUUGUUUGUUUGUCAACUCUAGUCCAAAUAUCUAUAGAAUAGAUUAGAUUGGUACUGGGAUUUUGCUAUGUUUUUGGUAUGUGUAGAUAUAGAAUUCAACUUAAUUUAUUGAUCAUUACAUAUAAUUCAAUUAAGAUAUUGUAUGAAAAUAUGAUUUUUUCGAUUCUCCUUUGAGAAAGAUCCUCAAAAAAGGAAAUAAGCAAGGUUCCGUCGUUGAGUGACAAAUGAGAAAUUUAUGGAAAGUUAUAAUCCCUACCACGGAAUAGUGCACCUACACGCCUUCAUUGACGUUGGUUUUUGACCGGAAGGCCGAGAGCUAACUAUCGAGAUUUUGAACUAUUUGGACACAUACUUCGUGAAAUGGUUCAUGCAUGUUUGUUGCCUUCCCUCCUUCUCACUUUGAAAAUUAUAUAUAUAUAUAUAUAUAUAUUUUGGCAACUCACUCUACAUUCAAUGAAAUGGCAGUGUCAGUGAGUUUGUUGACAAUUAUUGUGUUUGCCAAGUAAAAUAGUUGUGUGAUAAGUUGAAUAACAUUUGUUUUUUCCCAACAAAAGUUCUGUAGUGUGGUGUUCGGUGAAGUGAUAAGUAUUUCUUCAUUUUUCAUCAACGGUUUAGAAUUUGAGUCUAUCUGAGUGUAAAGUUGUCUUCAUUAGGAAGCGCUUUAUUUACCUCUCAAUAUAAUAUGGAACUUCCUAGCUUGAAUUCGGAUCUAGUUGAGUUCUAAUACAUAUACUAAACAUCGAGUGAAGAAUUAAAAAAGAAUAACAUAUGUUGAAAAGAAAAGUAGAUUACGUACUAGACAAGAAUGUACAAUUUAAAGGACAUCGUUUCCACCCCAAACUAUACCCGAAAAGUCGAAGUCACACCUAAACUAUACUAGUGACCUAUUACACACCUAAACUAUAAAAAAAGUGAAACUAUUUACACCCUGUCAGGCUACCACCACUUGCAUGUGGUGUAGUGUUUUACACGCGCUGCCACGUCAGUAAAAAGUAUCACUUUUUUAUAGUUAAAGUGUGUAAUAGGUCACUUAUAUAGUUUAGGUGUGAAUUCGACUAUAGUUUGGGGUGGAAAUAAUGCCUUUUCCCUUAAUGUUUUUAGCCGUUUACUUUUGUUAUUUAAUAGGCUGGACGCGCCUAAAAUAAGUGUAACACACGCGCCUUAGAAUGGGGGUCGCGGGGAGGUAAUAAUAUCACUUUUAUAUAGUUAAGGUGUGUAAUAGGUCACUUAUAUAAUUUAAAUGUGGCUUAGAUUUUUCUUGUAUACAAUGAGGUGGAUAUGAUUUCUUUUCCCUUUUUAAAUGAAUAAAAGACAACAACAGAGUUGUAAUGUCUCCUCUUUCUAUUUUUUUUUUUGUAAAAAUAAUUAUUGCUCUAAUUUAUUUUUAUAAAAAGAUUACUUUUCAAAUUGUACAGAGUGAUAACCACAUGCCUCAAGCACUUAUUUUUUUUAGUAUAUAGUAUUUUUCUUUUCAUUUUUUCUUUCCAUGAAAAAUCAAAGAAACAUAGAUAAUCAUUUUAUUUAAAAAUUUAAAUGGUUAAAGAAAGAGAACAUGUUAUUGAUUUUUUUUUUUUUUUACAGAAAAUGAAAUUACUAUAUGAUAGACAGGACAUCAAUAUUGAAAGAUAUUAAAAAAGAUAACUAAAGAUUAAUUUUUGAAAAUAAUUCAAUUAGAGCUAAGACAGUAUAUACAAAGUCUGGAAUUUAAGGUUAAUGACUAAGCAAAAAUUAGAUUUGUUUAUUUGAUUUAAUUAAUUCAAAUUCAGACAGGAGUGUCAGAUAUCAUUAGAUUUUUUUAUUGCAAUAAUUUUAUUUUAAGACAUCUCAUUUUAGUAAUCAAUUAUUGAUGACUUCUUUAGCUUCAAUAACAAGAGGGAAAUAAACAAAUCAAUUAGAACCUUAAAGUCAAAAUAUUUUUUUUAAGAAAAUAAAUAGUAGAUUAAAAGAACAGAAAACACGUUACUUUUAUUCAGUAAACUUAGCAAAAAAGCUCCAAAUGUGAGAAAAAAAUAAAAUUAUUACUAAAAGAAAAAACUUAAUUUUGAAGUCAGUCACUUCCCUUAAUAUAAUAUCAACUCAUUACAAUAAUAAGGAUUUAGCGGUAAUAAAUAUGCAUUUUAAUAAAGAGUGUUAAAACUUUUAUGGUUAUUCGUUAAUUGUCAUUGAAUUCAAUGUAACUAUAUGCUUUAAGGGCAUUUACAAAGAGUACCAAAAUGGAUUUUUACUUUAUUUCACCAAAGUCGCUAGGUCCCUACCAACGUUGAGUACGACGUACACGUUAUAUACCCAGAGGCGAACUCAGGAUUUGAAAUCUGGGGGUGCACCAGUAUUGUCAAAAGCGCGCAUAAGUUCUGAAUAAAGACUCAAAUUUGUGUUGAUCGCUCGUGUAAUACCCCAAGAAAUCCAAACCAAUAUUAGAGCCAUGUACCAAGCUCAUGCAUAGUACAUCAUGGUUCUUUUAUAGUUUUAUGAGUAGGUUAGAUGUAUAUUAAGACUUCAAAUAACUCCCAGCUAUCAGAUAAUCAAAACAUUCCUCACCGAUCGAAUUCUCGAGAAAGAUAUUGCCAUAGUCAGAUUCAAAUGAGCAUAUCUCUCAUUAUACUUGGAAUUUUUGAGCUUAUGACCUAUCCAAAGAUAGAUAAUUGAAUUAGAUUUCCAACGAUACCAAUUUCGCCUAAAUCCGAUUUCGGAGCAAAGAGUUAUUCCUAUUUUACUCCAGCAUGUAAGGCUGGAAUCAGUGUGACGACAUUCGUGGUAGCUUACCACAUUUGUGACGCCCUAUCACGAAGGUCGUCAGACUUAGGCAGAAACCAUCAAGUCCAGCUCCUGUGUGACGACAUUUUUGAUGGCUUACCACAUUUUUGAUGCCAUGUCACAAAUGUCGUCAGCCUUAGGCAGAAUCCAGCUUCUGUGUGACGACAUUUUUGACGGCUUACCACAUUUUUGACGCCAUGUCACAAAUAUUGUCAGCUAUUAUUUUCAGCAACUGAAAAUUUAUUUCAUAAGGGUAUUUUGGUCUUUUUCCUUCACUUCCCACGACUUAUAACCCUAAAGAGGCGUAAUUUUUCCCAUUUUUCUUCAAUUAAGCAUCUCAAAAACCCUCUCUUACGAUCUCAACCACAAGAUUAGGGUUUCCAUCAAACUCAUCUCUCAAAAGCAAGAUUCAAUCCUUUUUCCAAGAUAAUCAAGAAUUAAGUUUUCCAAUCCAAGAACUCUCCAGCAAAUCAUCAAGGUUUCCUUUCUAAGGUAUGCGUGUGUUCAUUCAUGGACUCCUUUCGUCCAUGAAGUUCAAGAAUCCUUUUUCUAAAACUAUAUAUUAUGGUUUUCAUGUUAUGAAUGGAUUGUUGAUCAUGUUUAUGUGUUGAAUGAUGCUAAGAUAGAAUCUUUAUGUGUUAUUAUGAAUCUAUGACAUCAUAUGAGUUGAAAACAUGUAAGUUUGAUUAUUUAUGAUGAGUAAUUGUAUGAUUUACACCUAUGCCUAAGUUGUGCAUGUAAGGUGUUUGAUAAAAUACCUAAGAGACUAGAAAUCAUGCAUUAUAGCUAAAUUGUGACUAAGUGAAGGAUUCAUGAUAUGCCCCCAUAUUCCAAUAAUUUUCAUGUUGAUAUUAUGUCUUGUAAAUGUUGUUGGGCUGUUCAUGAACUAGUAUUAUGAGAUUAUGCCAUGCUUACUUGAAAAUCCUACUUAUGUACAAGAUGUAUGAUAUCCAUGCACUUUAUGGAAUUCCCCAAGUUAUGAUAUUAUGGGUUGUUGAUGUUGGUCAAAAUUCUCUUCCAUGAAAUAGAUUGUUGAGAACCAUGCUUAAUAUGAAAUCCCUUAUUUAUGAUAUUGUGGAUGAUGGACUUUACUCUUAUGAUCAAGUCAGUCAUGUGUGUCAGUUUUCUUCUAUCGAGUCUUGGGGGUAUUCGUACCCGAAAAAAAUAGCUGUAUGCCUAGAGCCAUGUCAUGUUUUCACGAUACUCCUAGUCAAACCAUGAUCUAUAGAAAUUAGUCAGUCAUGUGACUCAGGAAAACUCAGUAAUCUCAGUAGUUCAAUAUUCUCAGUAAUCUCAGUGCUCAGUAAUCUAAGUAAUCACAGUAAAUCUCAGUAACUUCAGUACUCUUAAUCAGUCUUCAGAACUCAUUAUAUUCUGUCCGUCAUCAGAAUCCAGUAAACUCAAUCUUAGCUCCGCUAAACAAUACCACUAUUUUUAGUUCAGUUAAUCAGUAUCAGUUCAGUAAAUCAGUUAAGUUAAGUUAUUUAGUUCAGCUCAGUUAUUCAGUCCAGUGUCUUUCAGAUGGGAGUAAGAUUCAACAUCGAGCGAACCUAGGGAUGGGGGCUCACUCGCUAGAAUAGGACUGAGAUCCCUAGAAGCCAUCCCUAAGUUCCAGAACUACGUUGCCAGCGUAGGUACGGGAUGUCACUCGUUCGAUAGGACUGUCAUACUCAGGGGUCAUCCGUUAGCACAUUUAUAUGUAUAGGACUGAUCCCAGGAGUCACCCGCUAGAUUGGGACUGACUCCACAACAGAUGUCUUUAUUGGUGGAGCGGUACUGACACCUUUUCAGUCAGGAGAGAGAUUAGACCCCAGUCAGCUUAGCUUGGGAUAUGUCGGUGAGAUGAACACAUCCCACAAUUUCAGUUACAGAUUCAGGACUGUCAGAUACAGUCAACUCAGUUCAGUAGUAUAGAUUCAGCACUGUUAGAGACAAUCAAUCCUUAUCAUUAGAAAUAGACUACAAGAUCACCUAUUAGACAGGAAUGAUCUUAACUAUAGUUAAACAAUAUCAGAAUCAUUAGAUUUAAAGAUCACCCGCUAGAUAGGACUUAUCUCAAAUUCAGUUACUCCAUAUUAAACAGAACUUAGACUGUCAGAUACAGUCACUCAGUAUCAGUUACAUCGGUUAGGUCGAUCAUCACAGUUAUAUCAGUUAUAUCAGUUUUCUGAACUCAUGUAUCAGUAAUAUCAGUUAUCAGAAUUCAUGAUAUCAAUAUUCAGCUUCAGGACUGUCAUACACAGUCAACCAGACCAGUUCUUCAUAAUUCGAACUGUCAAAAAUAGUCGUUCAUCUAUUUAGUAUCUCAAUAUCAGUACACUCAUGUUGUCAGUAUUCAAACUCAGUAGUCAGUAUCUCUGCGAGUUUAGUUACAGUUAUGUAUGUAUGUAUGUAUUCUCACGUUCAUAUUAGUCAACAUUGUUCAUGCAUAUAACCGUUUGGAUUUAGCCUAUCUUACUCGUAUACUCAGUACAUUCAGACGUACUGACGCAUUUGCGGUAUGAUACUUUCUCUUAUGUUACACCAUAGGUUCAGAGGCACGAGCUCCAGAUCAACAGUAGCAUUCCAGUGUUCAGAGUUUGCAGUGAGUCCUUCUCAUUCGAGGACGAUAUGAUUAUUGCUACAUUUACUAUUCAGUUGCUAGAUGGAGUUAGUUGGAGACAUGUUCCUUCAACUCCUUAUUCAGAUCAGUUAGAGGCUUUCAGACUAGAUGUCAGAUUAGAUAUUCAGAUCUCAUUAUUUUCAGUAUUUAUGACUUGUUUUGGCAUUGUUAUACCUUUUUCAGAUAUUUUUUUAUUAGACGUUUAUUUAGUUCGAACCUUAUGGCCUUUUAUGUUCAUGUUUCCGCAUUUUAUGAUACAUUAUGCAGUAUACAGGUACAAAUAUCAUUUAUGGGUUAGCUUGUGGUCCUUUAGGGUUAUGAGCAUUGUGUAGGAUUCUGGUUCAGAAAAUCGGGUUGUUACAACCCGCCUCGUUUAAUGUACAGUUUAGGUUCUAAUUUAUAAGAUAUACUUUUCCUUGUCAAUGAGGCUUUUCUGGAAAUACGAAUACUAAACAAUUGAUAUUCACUUAAUAAAACAAAAAUAAUUUCUACGUUCAUAUAUUUGUCAUUCAUGCUUAUAUUAUUAGUCUUGAACUAGACAUAUGUUUAUAUUUUUUCUCCUUUAUGCCUUUUUUUGUUAAAUCUCAUGUUUUAUUUGUAAUUUGUGCUUAAAUAUAAUGGACUUUGAAGUUUUCUUUGCCCAUUUUUGCUUUUGCUAAGGCAAUGAGAAUUGUCUUUAAAUCUAGAACUUGGUUGAGGAGAAUAAUAUCUAUCCAUUCCAAUUCGCAAGAAUCAAUAACAAAUUCCUACAAAAUAAAAAAUUCAUCAAGAAUAUAAGUAAAAAUAUUUAUUUAUUUAUUUUUAAUCAAUCCCAUGAACUUAAAUAGAAGCAAGAAAAAAGAAAUAAAUAAAUUUUACACACUUACUUUCAAGCAACAAGUAAAUAUUAAAAGCAAUUAACAUUACCCAAACUUGAAUUAAAAAAUAAAAAAAAACGAAAGGAAGAAAUGUGUACCUAUUAGCAUCAAAUGGAAAAUUGCUCCUUUCUCUUUAUUUGAGUACUAUUAAUUUGUAAAUUGUAGUGUCCAGCAGUCCAAGGAGUUUGGAAUUGGGGGAAUUUGGGAAAAUACGGGUUGAAAAUUAGAAUUUGGGGGAAAAUAUGGGGCUUGGGGAAGUCCUUUUUAGUACAUAAUAAUUAUAUUAAUUAAGGAUGGAUGGGGUCAGAUGAGGUGGCUGCCUAGCUGGUGGUAUUUAAAUGUAUAUAAAGGAGAAGUAAAAUGAAAAAAUCAAGAGACUCCAUUAGGAAUCAAACACGCGAUAUCGGGCUAGAAGGGCAUCUGUGUUUGAGUUCGACCAAACGGGAGAGCACGGUAGAAAAAAUUAGCUUGAUAGGUGGGAGAACCCAUUUAACCUAUAAAUCCAUAAACAUUUCUCUAUUUAUCCAACGUGGAACAAUCGACACAUAGCAGUAAAUGCCGUAAACGCUGAGUGUUCAUCCUUGGUCUAUGCAAAUCAAGAGUCCAGCUAACGCGUGAGCCUCAUAACUAUUACGAGGAUUUAUUAUAUACAAUCUUAUCCUAUAUUUCUAUAACAGGUUGUUUCCACAACUCGAACCCUCCUCCUAAUCGCAUAACAACACCUUUACUAAUUACGCCAAGUCUCCUUUCCAUCUAAUAAUAUUUUGUGAUUGAAUUAAUAAUUUGAGAGGUAUAGUUCUAGUUAAACUAUGAAAGUACCAGCUAGUUUAUAAUGAAAUAAAACAACUAAUGGACAAUUUUACAGAAUUUAUUAAAGCUAAUCAAAGAAAUGCAUACUGAUUUUCUAAACUGCCUCUAAUAAAGCUCUAGUCUUCAUAAUCUAAAAAAAGUACAGCCUGAUGCACUAAAAUUCCAGAUAUGCGCGGGGUCGAGGGAAGUGUUGGACCCACAAUGGUCUUUUGUACGAAGCUUUACGUUACAUUUCUGCCGGAGACCUGUAGAAAAGAGUUCCAAUGAGUUAGUAGCUCAAAAUGUAGUACUCUCUUCAUCUCAUUAUAUACUUUUUCGUGAGUUUCACACUUCAACUAUCAGUUGUUCCCUUUUUCUACUGGAACUAUUACCAUCUAUAAAAUAUACACAACUAGUUGAGUCGAUGGUGAUAGUUCAGACAAGAGAAGAGCACAGUUGAUAUAGUUGGUCCACAUAGCUUUAAGGUUUAUUUUAAUACAUAGAUGGUGAUAGUGCAGGUAGAAAAAGGUAACAACCGAUAGUUAAGAUGCGAAAAGAUGACAGCUCUAAUGUGUUUUUGAUCGUUAACUCAUUGUGUACCUGAAUAAAGGCCUCAAUCAUCAUGGAUAAAGACCUGGAAGCCAGAAUUCUGAUACUCUUCAACUUGUGUUUCUUGGAUAACUCUGGCUGAUUUGACGACAGAUUCGUUGCAUUGCCUUACCUCAAUGGACAAUAGAGAAGAGAUGUCUUUGAAACAAGAAGGGAUCUCCUUAAGAAAUUGGCAUCCAUGCAAAACCAAGCGCUCAAGGUGGGGAAAGACAUCAUCAUCAACACAUCUCCAUUCUUUAAUGCAGUCUAUUUUUUGUAGUUUCAACGAUCUGAGCUGAAGGAACUCGCCAUUGCUCACUUUCCAUUCCUCGUUCUCAAAGUGAAUGCGUUGUAGUCUAAGUGCCUGAAGGUUCUCAAGUGAAGCAAUUUCUAAGAAGCGGUGAGGAUGCAGGUAAAAGCCGCGUAGUGUCAAGCUUCUGAGACUUGGUGCGGAGAUGGAAAAGGGGAUGAUUUUGGGGACAUUGUCAUCAUGAACUCUGUCAUUAUAAAUGCAUAACUUUUCAAUCCGUGUUGGAAUGUUCAAUAUGUUGUACUGAAAGUUGUCAACACCCUUAAUUUCAAACUCCAGUAUCCGAAGAUUAGGUGUUUUUCUCAAAAUCAAUUCCACAUCCUGGACACGAGCAAAAAAUGGAGCGGAGAGAGUUUGCAGAUCAUAAAGGUUAUCGGAGUUCUCAAGUAAUUCUCUGGAGAAGCAACAAUCGAAGAUAGCCAGAUGUCUCAGUUUAACCAUCUUCCCGACUCUAAGGUGUAGUGCCAUGGUUAUCAAACCAGCAAUAUUCUCUAACAUCAGAACUUCAAGUUUCCAACAAUUGUCUAUGAAUGAAUCACAAUGUUUGGCGUGAACUUUUGCAGCAAAUAACCUCAAGUAAACUAGACCAGUAGGAAAAUGAAAAACUAAAAUGUUCAUCAUAUUCAACACUUUUAGAAACUUGAAGGUGUAAAUCUGGAAGAGGAGCUCUCGGGAUGGCCAAUUGGGACUAUCAAGCAAAAAUACCGAGCCAACAUGUGACCAGCAUGAGCUCCAAUCUCCAAUAGGAUACUUGUAUGCAGAAAUGGAUAUGUGAUGAGCAAGUUGCUUCUGACGAUCAAAACAGGAAGAUGGACAGGCAUUUUCAGUCCUGAGAAUAUAGAAAUUGGUGAAGUUAUAAGAUUAUUUGUCAAUAUAACUUGAACACUUGAUUAACUGAAGCAAAAGACAAGAGUAUCAGUAUUGUAUAUUACCUCUUUAUCCAUAGGAGAAAAUUCUCUUCCUUCGCUCUUUCCUUGCAGAAUUCAUGCAAUAGGUCAUGAACGCGACAUGCUUUGAUCUUACCUCGAGAACUCCUCUUAAUUCCCAUAACUAGAUUUCUUCCAAUAAGAUUCUCCAAAUAGCCUUGUGCUAUAUCCUCCAAGCUCUUGCCUUCACAACUUUUAACAAAUCCUUGGGAGAUCCACAACUGUGCUAAUGUUGAAACAUGAACUACACUGUCCUCUGGAAAUGCUCCAAAGUGAAGAAAGCAAGACCUGAGAUGAUAGGGUAAAAUCUGAUAACUUUGUUCUAUAAUGGCCCUCGAGUCUGUGUGAAUGUGGGGACCUAAAUUGUUGGCAAAUCGUUCCCAACAUUCUUCUUCCUUCUCCAACUCAGACAGAAUACCAGCCACCAAAACAACUGAAAGAGGCAGUUGACCACACUUUUUUGCUAUUUGUUGUCCAACUUUUGUUAGGAGAGGGGGGCAACUUUCUUCACCAAACACCUUUUUCCGGAGUAACUCCUAACUUUCAUCCUCGUUAAACAUACGAAGUUGGAGGGGAUCACUUUGAAAUCUAGUGUAAUUGGCUACUUCAAGAUUUCGGGUUGUUAGAAUGAUUCUACUUCCAUUAUUGGCAUCAUUGAAACAACCUACUAGAUCAUCCCAUACACUAGUUUCCCACACAUCAUCGACAAGGAUAAGAUAUCUUCUCGAAAAUAAAGUUCUACAAAGCUGAUCAGCUAUUUCAUCAGGUCGGUUUUCUCCACAAUCAAAGUUCUCAUUGAUAGGAUCACGUAAAAUCGCCAUUAACAACUCCUUACGUGAAUAUACUUGAGACACACAAUACUGUGCACGAAUGUCAAAGUGAGAAGAGACUAAUAUGUCAUUGUAGAGUCUGUAGGCCAAAGUCGUUUUUCCUAGACCUGGCAUACCGACACUUGAGAUAACACCUCGUCCUUUGGUGCCUUUUAUUAGUUGGUCUCUUAACUUUUCUAUGACAUCCUCAAAACCAACUAUUUCUUCAUUCAUCCUUGAAGACCUUACCAAAUUUGAUGACUUUUGAGCUGUGACAGUGUUCACUGCACAGCCAACCAUUUUCAUUUCAUGUAUCUCUGCUGCCUCAUCUUUGAUAAGAGUAAUCUCCUUCAUGAUAUCCGAGAGCCAAUGUUCGAUGCACCAUACAGGAGCUUCUUUGAUAAUACAAGCAUCAACUAAGUAUUCCACCUCAUAUGCUUUGUCAAACAGUUGUGUUGCCCAAUGUUGAAUUUGGUCGAUGUCUUUGUGCCGCUCUUCUGCAAUAGCCUCUAGAAAAGGUUGCAAGCCCUCAAGUUGCAUCUGAAUUAUUUGAAGUGGAUUUGCGACAGAAGCUAGUGAGUCUGAAUGGCUGGUUUGGAACUCCUUCAAGUUGUUUAAAAGGAAAUCAACAUAACCUAGUCCAUGAAUCCUUGGCAAAGUAAAUUGAAAUCCCUUCCGGAUAGUUACAUAGAUUGCUGUGUUCAUACGUUGAAUGUUGUCCGUCAAAUCAAGAACUAGUGAAGGGUUCAAUUCUCUCAAUGCAAUGUCUUUAUUCUCCCCCUCGUCUUCAUAUAACUAGUAAAUCAUAAGUCCAACAUCAAUAACCAGAGUGUCAAUAUCUCGAAGGAAUUCAAGACCUGGUAUCAUCACACGCGUGAUGUUGGCUCUCAAGNNNNNNNNNNNNNNNNNNNNNNNNNNNNNNNNNNNNNNNNNNNNNNNNNNNNNNNNNNNNNNNNNNNNNNNNNNNNNNNNNNNNNNNNNNNNNNNNNNNNNNNNNNNNNNNNNNNNNNNNNNNNNNNNNNNNNNNNNNNNNNNNNNNNNNNNNNNNNNNNNNNNNNNNNNNNNNNNNNNNNNNNNNNNNNNNNNNNNNNNNNNNNNNNNNNNNNNNNNNNNNNNNNNNNNNNNNNNNNNNNNNNNNNNNNNNNNNNNNNNNNNNNNNNNNNNNNNNNNNNNNNNNNNNNNNNNNNNNNNNNNNNNNNNNNNNNNNNNNNNNNNNNNNNNNNNNNNNNNNNNNNNNNNNNNNNNNNNNNNNNNNNNNNNNNNNNNNNNNNNNNNNNNNNNNNNNNNNNNNNNNNNNNNNNNNNNNNNNNNNNNNNNNNNNNNNNNNNNNNNNNNNNNNNNNNNNNNNNNNNNNNNNNNNNNNNNNNNNNNNNNNNNNNNNNNNNNNNNNNNNNNNNNNNNNNNNNNNNNNNNNNNNNNNNNNNNNNNNNNNNNNNNNNNNNNNNNNNNNNNNNNNNNNNNNNNNNNNNNNNNNNNNNNNNNNNNNNNNNNNNNNNNNNNNNNNNNNNNNNNNNNNNNNNNNNNNNNNNNNNNNNNNNNNNNNNNNNNNNNNNNNNNNNNNNNNNNNNNNNNNNNNNNNNNNNNNNNNNNNNNNNNNNNNNNNNNNNNNNNNNNNNNNNNNNNNNNNNNNNNNNNNNNNNNNNNNNNNNNNNNNNNNNNNNNNNNNNNNNNNNNNNNNNNNNNNNNNNNNNNNNNNNNNNNNNNNNNNNNNNNNNNNNNNNNNNNNNNNNNNNNNNNNNNNNNNNNNNNNNNNNNNNNNNNNNNNNNNNNNNNNNNNNNNNNNNNNNNNNNNNNNNNNNNNNNNNNNNNNNNNNNNNNNNNNNNNNNNNNNNNNNNNNNNNNNNNNNNNNNNNNNNNNNNNNNNNNNNNNNNNNNNNNNNNNNNNNNNNNNNAUUUUCGUAAUAAAGAAAAAAAUAUUUUAUUAACUUUGUUAAUUGCUAAUUAAUUAAGCAAAUAAUAUGAAAGCAUGCAACUAAAUUAAAACUUGGUAAGAGUUGUAGUUGAGUUAUGAUCAAGUGCUUAAUUCAUAUUAAUGUCAUCUCAGUUUAAAUAGCUUUUGGCUGGGUUAAUUUGUUUAUUUAUUUAGUCAAUUUAUUUUGAUCCGUCUAUUUGAUACUCCUUAUUAGGAUAAAAGUUUACAAAUAGCUUCUUAAUUUUUAGUCCCUCUAAUUUAAAAAUACUUAAUAUCAUGAAGUUUUAAAUUCUAUCGGUGAGCUAUAUAACAUUUGAAAUUUCACUAGCGAAAUUUGAAAUUUUAUGAUAUCGACUAAUUUUCAAAGACAAAAUCGAAAAUUGACUUAAUGAGUACUAUUUCGAAAAUUGACUAAUGAGUACUAAUAGUGCAAAAAUUGCAUUAUUUGCAAGAAUUUCUCUUCCUUCUCUUUUGAUUUGACGUAAAAAAUUAAAAAAUUACUAAUUAUUUAUGGUUCGUGUCAUUAUUUGUAGUCAAAUUUUGGCAAAUUUUUCAAGAUUUUUGCUUCAAAUUUCGAUGAUUAUUGUGACAAGACAAAUCUUAUUUCGUCAAUUUAAAAUUCUAGCGGUUCGUCAGAAUUUUGCUACAUAGUGCAUGAAAAUUUAAAUGAUGACACUAAAACUUUCUAAAUGAAAGUAAAAGUAAUUCUCAUGUCAUUAAGCUCAUGAUGUAAUUGCAAUACAAAUAAUUAUUGGAUAAAGAAGAAAUUAAUGAAAGAACAUAUCAAUGAUACAACAUGUGAAAAAUUAAAUAAAAGCAAAAAGCUUCUUAUCUUUCAUAAAUCAAAAUCCAAGAAAUACCACACCCAAAUUAAACACAAAUUAAUAAAAACACCACUUACUAAGCAACGUAACAACCUCAUAAUUAAUUAAGGUAAAUUAAUUUAGUGUUCACCACCAGCACCAGCACCAGCACCUUCACCACCAAGCAAACCACCACCAAAACCGGUGCCGAUACUUCCUACAUGCCCAAGACUUCCACCUAUACCCACUCCAAUGCCACCUAAGCCGCCACCACCACCACCGUAGCCGCCUGCGCCGAGCAUGCGCCGCCCUAACACGUCAGCAGAAACCAUGACCCCACUGAAAAGAACAAUUAAGUAAAUAAUUCCAACAAUACGAGCUGAUGAAAUACCCAUUAUAUUAUUACUUCAAAAUAAAUGUGCACCAAAAAUAUUUAUCAAGAACAGAAGAAAAAAAUGAUCAAAUAAUUAGAAAGCACUUGAGAUGUGAGGAUUAAUGCACUUGUCUAGGCAAGUAUAUAUAGUGUUAAAAUGACCAUUUUUUCUUUCAGUUGUAGUCUAUCAUGAUCACCAUUAACAUUUUUAUUAUUAUAGAUGUGGUAGUGUUGGAGUUGUGAAAUAAUUUAUAACACAUUAUGAAUUAUAAAAUACUGUAAUAAUACAAUUGUUUGGCUGUUGGUUUAAUUUAUAUUUCUUUGAUGAUUAUAAAAAAGAAUCAAUGAUCAUUAAGCAAUCAUGAUAAAUGAUUAAAAAGUUAUUCUUAUAGUCAUUGUGGCUUCCCACAAACUAUAUGCAACUAGUAUAGUCAAUAUAUAUAUAUAUAUAUAUAUAUAUAUAUAUUCAUUUUUUUGUUCUUCUUCAUAUAUUUAGCGGUCUUGGAAUAUAUUUUCCAACACCUCUUAACAUCAGAUUAUUGAGUUUAAGCCCUUAUUUCCAGCCCUUUCUCAUAAAUGGAAUCCUGACGUAUACGAAAAAGUACAGUUCAGUCGAGAAAUUUCUACCUGUUUAUCUAUCUCUGAGAUGUUUGAAUUUUUCAAACCUUCAUUGACAUGUAAAAGAGAAAUGCUAUCCCCAUUCGGACCAAGUCACAAUCACAUGAUCUUAACUAUAUCAUGAAAUUUUCUCAUAAUUAUAUAACAAUAAUUUAGAGAUACAAAUGAAUUCCAAAAGAUUUCGUCCCCAUGAUCGCUCAUGAAGUGGGGGUAGUUGGUCCAUAUAUACAAAAAUUACAUCUAUCAAUUUCUUGUGCUAACUUGAUACAUACCUUAUUGUAACAACAUAAACUCCGACAGUUUGGAGCUUAAUUACAAAAAAUCUUAAUAUUUAGCAUAGUUAAUGAAAUUGUCAAUUUUAAGUCUGUCGAGAUACAUAAUUAGGUCCCAAUACAUUUAAUGAAGAUAUAUUUUUUUUCUUAGUAAAGAUACAUAAUUAGCUCUCAAUAUAUUUUUUGAUUUUGGGUCUGUCGAGAUACAUAAAAUUAGCUCCGAAUACAUCCAGCGAAGAUACACAAUUAGUUGGGGUUCUCGUAAUUACUACGGAUAGAGGUUUGUGUAAAUAUAUUAAGUUGACAUGUAUGUUUAUGUUAUUUUUUUUUUUGUAUAAUAAUUAAUUAAUUUGCUCUGAAUGAAGAAAAUAUUCAUUAAAGCAAAACCUUUUGUUGCUGUAAUAUCUCUUCAAUUUGGGCUUUAAGGCAUGGACAUCCUUUCAAAAAUAGCCUUUAAUGAAGGGGCUAGCAACUAUGUAUUUGUUGUAUACCACCAAGCUGUUGCCACCCUUUUUAUGGCUCCUUUUGCAAUUCUUUUAGACAAGUCUCUCUCCCCUUCUUUGUUCAAUAAUUUUUUUUUUUUCAUUUGGUAAAUUCGUUGCCAUGUGAUCAGGAGGUUACGGGUUGUAGUCUUGGAAAUAGUCUCUAGCAGAAAUGCAAGGUAAAGCUGCGUACAAUACACUCUUGUGGCAGAACCCUUCCCCGAACCCGAUGGUGGUACACAACAAACACAUAGCUACUAGGUCCUUCAUUAAAGGCCAUUUUUUAAAGGAUAUCCAUGUGCUGAAAGCCCACAUUGAAGAAAUAUUACAGCAACAAAGGAUUUUGCUCUGAUGAAUAUUUCCUCCAUUGAGAACAACAAGGAGCUAAUAAUAAUUUUUAUCACAGCUUUAUCAUAUUACAUAUAAUUUCAUAAAAGAUAUUUUUGCAUACAUUAUAUUUGCCUUGAUGCUUAAAAUUUUUGAUACAUUUUCAACUAAUCGGUAACUUAAAUAAGGAAAUAACAGAAAUCACAUUUAUUGAGUUUUGAGACGGUGUGGAGAAUAUGUACUCUACUAUACCUCUAAUUGUGGGAAGGUAUUUAUUGAUCACUGAAUACAUAUAUCAAAGUAAAUAAUGAAUCUUGUACACAAAACAUAGAGAUAGAUUCUGAUAUGAAUCAUACGUAUUCUAUAGUUUUUGAUACUUAUUCUCAUUGUAUGAAAGCAAAUAUAUCAAGAGCGGUGGAUAUAAAGAAUUAUUGAAACAUAGACAAUAUGUAUUAACAUUAUACAUCAGUGUUACACGUACCAUUUCGCACAGGUUAAAAUAUAUCAAAAUAAUGUAUCAUUGAUGCACAUACAUAUUAAAAUAUAUCAAAAAUUUAAAUAUAAUUCAUAUGCAUCAAAUGAAAAUAAUCAUGGUUUCUAAUUUGAUUUUGGGGAUUGUGCAUGUAAUCCCAGUUUGUUGGAAAACAAAAGAUUCAAGCUUCAUUGUCAAUCAGUAGUAGAAAGAAGGAAAAGAAAAAUGAUGAAACAAGAAGAAGAAUUGAAAUAGCAGUAGAGUUUUCAGACAAAAGUGUUUGUUUCCCCAUAUGUUGUCCACAACAUGACACCUGGAAGACAUCCAACCAUUCUAAUAUGGUUUUGAUGGACGAAAUGUCAGCCGUGAGAUCAAGAUAUUUUAUUGAAAGUAGAGGCACGUGAAUGGUACAAACAUUCAGCAUAGAAGGAAUAAAAGUUGUUAGUUAGUUAAGGGAUUUUAUAUAGGAUUGGGACAAGUGUACAGCUGAAAGUGUUUUCUUUGUAUUUGUUCUGAAAGUGUUUUCUUUGUAUUUGUUUUUCAUUUAUUCUGCACAAAUACUUGUAUAAAGAGUAGAAACACCAUCAAAUAAAAAUUCAUCGAAAAUUUUUUACAAAGUUUUUUCUACUUUCUUUCAUGGUAUCAGAGCAGUGAGCUCGAUCCAUCAAUUUCAUAAUAAAAAUCAACUUUUUCACUCCAACAUGGCAGGUGAAACUACUCAGCUACCUUCCCUAAGCAACACAGUUGCCGAUGCUACUGCUGUUGGAGCAGUUCUUGAUGCCAGUCAUCUUUAUUAUCUUCAUCUUUCUGAUUCACCAGGGAUGAACCUGGUCAGUACAGUGUUUGAUGGAAGGGGAUUUCCAGGAUGGAGACGAUCCAUUCUCCUAGCAUUGUCAGCUAAGAGAAAGCUUGGCUUCAUUAAUGGUACCUGCAAGAUACCAGAUCUGAACUCCUCAGAUUUUCCUCAGUGAAGCUGCUGUGAUGACAUGGUUAUUUCUUGGCUCUUAAAUACUUUGUCGAAGGAUAUUGGAGACAACGUUAUCUACUCCACCACUGCUAAAGAGCUUUGGGACAACCUUGAGUAGCAAUUUGGUAAGUCAAAUGGUGCAAAGCUUUUUCACCUUCAAAAGAAAUUAAGCACAUUAGUACAAGGGAACACUGAUAUCUCAGGAUAUUUCACAAAAAUGAAAAGGAUUUUGGAUGAAUUGGACUCUCCCGAUGCAGAUAUUGUGUGCUCUUGUGUUUGCACUUGUGAGGGGAAAUCAUAAUUAGCUAAAUAUUUACAAGAUUAGAGGUUGAUCCAGUUUUUCAUGGGACUCAAUGACAUCUAUGCACAAGAAAGGGGAAGCAUACUAAUGAUGAAGUUCUUACCAGGCAUGGAUGUUGCAUAUUCCCUCUUAUUACAAGAUGAAAAUCAGAGAGAGAUUUAUGUGAAUGCACAGAUCUUCUCAUAUUUAUCUUAUUUCAUGGCAAUAGGACAAGGAAAACAACAUGUUAGGGGAGGAAAUCAAAUUUUCAAGAGUGGGAAUGGAAAUUAUAUUCUCAGAAAUACAAGUGGGAAUUAGAAACUUGUGUUUUAUCCACAGAAAUCUGGACCUAGUCCACAAAGGGCUGGUAACACUCAACAGAAAUUCAAAGGAAGAAGAGCUAAAUAUAAUCCAAAUGUUACUUGUAGUUUUUGUUCAAGAAAGGACAUGUGAUGGAUGAUUGUUUUAAAUUAAUUAGGUUCGCUGAUGAUUUUGAGUUCACCAAAGAAAAAAAUGCUUUGGAAAAAGGAAAUGCAGCACUGACAAGAAAAAAUACUCAUGAAUUUGGGGAUGGAUAUAUGAGAGAAGGGGGAAACAAUUCAUAUCAAUUUUCCAAAGAAGGAUGUAACAGUUCAUUUCCAUACUUCAGCAAAGAAUAGAGAGAAGAAAUUGCACAAAUGAUUAAGGAUCUACACGUGUCACAAUCAGUCACAAAUGCAGAAAUCAGUGCUAAUGCAGUAGCUGGUACUAUUCUUAAAUACUCAGGCACAUGUUUUUCAGUUUUUAACUCUACAACUUGGAUAAUUGACUCCGAAGCAUCAGAACACAUGCGUUUUGAUGUUUUUUUUCCUCUUCCAUUACCCCUCUUCAAUUUCCCUUGAACAUUAGUUUACCUAAUUCUUUCAAAGUAACUGUCACCCACAUAGGUAAUGUCCCUAUUCUACCCACUCUCACUCUCACUUAUGUGCUCUAUGUUCCCAUGUUUAAAUACAAUCUUCUCUCAGUGCAUAGACUUACUAAUCAAAUCAAAUGGAAUGUAUUAUUCACUUCUAGUCAAUGUCUCUUGCAAGACCUUUUAUUGAAGAGGGUGGUAGCUUUUGGUGAGCUUAGUGAAGGACUUUAUCUUUUACAAUCUAUUGUUUCUAAGUCUAGCUUAAAUAAGUCUGUUUCUAUUCCUGUUUCUUUUUCAGUUGUAGCAAAUGUUGUUUCAGAUGUAAGUCUAUGGCAUGCCAGACUUGGGCAUUUGCCUCUAUCAGCAAUGAAGCAUUUCAAUUUCAUAAAAUUACAUUUGAUUCUGAUUUUAUAUUUCAUAUCUGUCCUUAAGUCAAACAAACUAGAUCCUCUUUUCCUAUCAGUGCUAUAAAAUCUAAAGGAGUUUUUGAUUUAAUUCACAUUGAUACUUGGGGUCCCUAUAAAAAUGCUACUUACAAUGGAUACAAAUGCUUCCUUACUAUAGUAGAUGACUAUAGUAGAGUAACUUGGACCUAUUUGUUGAGUACUAAAAUAAAUGCCUUUCCUGUCUUAAAAACCUUUAUGUCAAUGGUUGAAAAAUAGUUUAAUAAGAAGGUUAAGUGCAUCAGCUAUGAUAAUGCACUGGAACUUGGAAAAGGAACUUAUGAGGCUGCCUUCUUAAGAGAACAUGAUAUUUCACAUCAGCAAAGUUGUGUGGCCACCCCACAACAAAAUAAGGUGGUGGAAAGGAAACAUAAAUAUCUUUUGAAAGUGGAUAGGGAUUUAUUUUUUGAAUCUCAUGUUCCUAUAUCAUAUUGGGGUGAGUGUAUACUCACAGCCACCCAUCUGAUCAACAUUUUUCCUUCCAUAGUUUUGAAAGAAAAGUCACCCUAUGAGGUAUUUUUCGAUCGAUUACCUGAUUAUUCAUCUUUAAAAUCCUUUGAUUGUCUUUGUUAUUGCUCAACCUUGUCUCAAGGAAGAGGUAAAUUUGAUCCUAGGUCUACAAAAUGUGUACUAUUAGGAUAUCCUCAAGGUCAAAAGGGAUAUAAAGUCAUAGAUUUUAAAACUUGAAAAGUUUUUGUCUCUAGAGAUGUUACUUUUCAUGAAAGCAAUUUUCCUUUUGCUGAAGUUUCUACUUCACCUUCUCAAACUUUUUUACCUCCUAUUCCUCCUUUGGAUGCAUUUUUAGAUUUUCGUCAAAUUAUCCCAACUCCACAAUAUUAUCCUCCACACUCACAAACCCCUAAAAUCAAGACAUUGAUGUUAAUCCUCCAGAACCAACAAACCAUCUUAUCCCUGCCUCUCCACCAGAACCUCCUUCCUCAACUGUUGCCCCUUCUAGAAGAUUAAGUAGAAUUUGCCAAAGACUUGGGUACCUUCAUGAUUUUAUUUGUAAUAGUGUUUAUCUCACAAACCUCAUUGAUUCUUGUUUUUCUACACCUCUCUCUACUGUAUUUUCUCUUUCAAUGCCUUAUUUAGACCCAAUCAAUAUUUCUUAAACACUAUUAAUUCUUACUCAGAACCCACUUGCUAUUCACAAGCUGCAACUCACCCUGAGUGGCAGGCUGGAAUGGAUGCAAAAAUUACAGCCUUGCAAUUUAAUGACACUUGGAAUAUGGUUGAUUUACCUCUAGGGAAGAAAGAUUUACCUUGCAAAUGGGUUUACAAGAUAAAGUUUCUCUCAGAUGGUUCAAUAGAAAGAUAUAAGGUAAGAUUGGUUGUGAGGAGGGAUAUCUAAAGGGUGACUUCUCUUUUUCAUUUUGGAGAGGCCAAAACCAAAAGCUCCUUAGUAGAGUGAUACUAGUAUUGUAUCUUGGCUAGAAACUAGGAUCUUGGGGUUCUUGAGUUCCUUUUGGUCCAAGUAAGAAUUUGGUGUUGAUAUUCAUUAGUCUUAGGGUCCUUUUUCAUUGUUAGGAUUCUUAGAUUAUUGAAUAUUGUAUGUCAAGUUUCUAUACCUUUCGUAAUCUUGAUAACAUUAUGUUGUUGAAUCUAAAAGUUUAGUGAAGCCGUGUGGGGCUCUUUCGAUUCACUAGCAAAAUUGUCAUUUGUUGUUCUUGUUGUAAACUCAUUUUUCUAGUCAAAACAAGUGUUGAAGCCUAGAGAAGUCGCGUGUGGCCUCUUUCGAUUCACUAGCACUUUGUUGUUCUUAUUGUUGCUUCUUGUGUUGGCUUGAAUUUAUUGAUAUACACUUAGCUUUGUAUCAUUUGGUAUCAAAGCUCAAGGCUUGAUUUUGUUCUACAAAAUCGAUCUUGGGAAGCUCUUACCAAAAAAGGUGUGUUCUUGAACCUCUUGAUCGAAAAUUGGUUGUAGAUCUACAAAAGUUUUAAUUUUUUAGUUUGUUUCUUGUGUUGGUUUCUUUCUCAUCAACACAAAAGGUGUCUAAAUCUAAAGUUGAGCUUAAUGAAAAAGAGACUUGUGUUGUGAAAAAAAAAAACUUGAAGUGGCAAAAAGGUUGUAAGACAAAAUUGAAAAAUUGUUUGUGGGAAGACUUGCCAACAUCACCUUUUCAAGACUUAACAACCACUUUUCCAUAAAACAAGGAACCUUGCCUUGUGGGACUAGUGAGGUCAAACAUCACCUUUUGAGUUUGAAAAAAAAAGGUUACAAGACUUUAUGUUUUCCAUCCCAAUAACAAGUCAUCCAUUACAAAGGAUCUAAGGGGACUAAGACUUCAAGUUGAUGAACUACUUAUGUGGACCCGCGGCCAAUGACAUGCUGCCACGUUACCCAAGUUACUGUUCACGUGAUAAUUAAGCUCAAAUUUGAAUGUUCUAGUUUCUAAUUAUUGAUUCCUAGUUUCCUCUAAUUGACUUAAGAGCUAAUUAACAAACUAGUACAUUCUUACUAGCUUGUCAAUUAGUCCCCUGAAGCCUUGUGUUCGUGUUAACAUUUGUUUAUGUGCUUUUGUCAUUUGAAUAUGUUGUAACUCUUGGCUCUAGUCCGACAAAAAAUUUUUGAGUUUCAAAUAAGAAUGUACUCCAGACAAGAGCAUACUCAUACCUUAAGGAUUCACGGGUUACUAGCCAAUCUACAACACUUGUGGAGUUCGAGUGUGAGUGAACCGANNNNNNNNNNNNNNNNNNNNNNUUGCUUGUGUAGGUGAUACCUUGACAAUGGAGGGAACCACGUAUCAAAAUGUGGAUUCUAAUAAAAUGGAGAAUAUGAGGGUUACUCUUGAGUCUAUGACCCGAACUCUUGAAAGGUUGAGUACGGAGGUGGGAGCCAUAAGGGGGGAAGUGACGACUAUUAGCGGGAGAUUAGAACAAGUGGAGAGUCAAAGAAACUCUCGUCCUUCUACUCCUCGACAUGUUUCUUCAACUGUACAUAACAGAAAUUCCUCCGCUACCGUUACUCUCGAAACAUGGCCUCAAUUACCAAAUCCUUCCCAAGCUCCACUAAAUGCCGCAAGCCAAACCAUCCAUAACCUGAGACUCCAAUAGACCAACCCAUUCCUAAAAUCCUCAAGACCUCCCUUCCAAGCUCCACUAAACCAAAGACCACCACCUCCACAAAAUUCAAUUCCUCCAAAUCAAGUUCCAAACACCCAAAACUGUCCCAUCCACUUUGAGAAAUAUGGUAAAGAGGAUUAUGAAGGGUAUAGAGCCUUUGAAGAUGCUUAUAUGAGGGAGGAGAAGAUGAGAGGGGGACGCGUGGAUCCAAUGAGAUAUCGAGGGUAUGGAGAAAGGGGAAACCGACACCAAGAGAGAGAUGUAGGCAUCAAUACCAUCAAAUUGUGCCUACCUAUCAUUAAGGGUGAAAGUGACCCCGAAGUGUAUCUUGCUUGGGAGUCGGUGUGCGAUAAGUGUUCUAAGUGAAUGAUAUCUCAGAGGAGAAUAAGAGUUGUUAUGCCAUAGCUCAUUUUGAAGGCUAUGCUAACAUUUGGUGAGAAUACGUCAAGUGGUUUAACAACGAGUUGGUGGAGGGACAACCACCACCGUGGUUUCAGUUGAGGUACCUAAUGAGGCAGCGGUAUCUUCCCGAAAGUUAUCGUCAUGAGUUGCUUGCUAGGUUGUAUAAUUUGUGACAAGGGAAUCAAAGUGUUAUGGUAUACUAUGACGAGUUUCAAGAACUCAUGUUGAAGCUUGAUCAUCGGGGAGAACAAAUUGGCCAUGACAUUAUUCAGUUUAAGUAUGGGUUGAACAAAGAGAUCUCCACUCAUUUGACGCUUUACAAGUUUGAUACCGUUGAAGGAAUUUUCCAAGAGGCUCUUGAUAUUGAAAGGGAGCUUAAAAAAAGGUCAUUCUUCAAGGCAAAUGGACCAUCAACCUCGGGUUGGCUGAGGAGCAUAAAUAUGGUUCAAUCAUCUUCGGGUUGGCCCAAAAACAAGGACCAACUCUCCACUACAUGGCUGCUCGAUCCUAAAACAGUCCGCAAAUUUCCUCCCUAGCAAGAAUCUCACAAGUAUCAUAAUCCUAAAGGGUUCCAAUGUUUCAAGUGCCAAGGUUGGGGAUGUAAAGCCAAUGAAUGUCCAAAACGAUGCAAUGUGAUCCUGAAGGGAGAUUAUAUUACCUUGGUGAGGAAGUGGGUCUUGAAAAUGAAGAGAAUAAGGUCGAGCCUCAAGAUGGAGAGGAACAUAAAAAUAAGCCACAUGAUGAUGAUGAUGAUUAUGAGGAUGCUUAUCCACAAGAAGGGGAGUGCAUGGUUCCAAACUUUAUAGUGAAGCGUUCCAUGAUUAGUAAGACGAUAGAUGAUCCUAUCCAACGGGAGAAUCUAUUCCAUACUAAGUGUCUUGUGAAGAGAAGUGUGUACACUAUGGUGAUAGAUAGUGGAAGUUGUGUGAAUAUGGUUAGUGUUGCAAUGGUGAACUUCUUGAAAUAGCCGAAUAUACCUCACACUAGUCCUUACAAGUUGGAAUGGUUGAAUGAAUGCAGCGAGUUAAAGGUCACAAGGCAAUGUGUGAUACAUUUUAAUGUAGCCAACUACCAUGAUGAGGUGCUUCGUGAUGUGAUACCAAUGCAAGCUUGUCACUUGUUGUUAGGAAGGCCUUGGCAAUACGAUAGGUCGACCAAACAUGAUGGAAGGUCCAAUCGGUAUACACUUAAGAAGGAUGGCCGAAAGGUCGCUCUUCAUCCAUUAUUUUUUUCCCAAGUGAAUGAAUUACAUCAAAAGAUGCGGGAAUUGAUGAAAAGGGGAAAGAAGGCCGAAAGCUAGGGGAAAAAAAAGAAUUCGAGAGUGAGGGAGUAAGGGAAACUGAGGGGUCCCUAAAUUCUAAAGGGCACGGGAGCAUGGUGAUGAUGACUAGGAGGAAGGAAUUAUUUAUGGAUCAUGAUGAGGACACUCCGAUGCUCUUCUUGACUCAUUGUUUGAAUACUAAUUCUGCUAACGUUUCUAUUUCUCCUCCCAUUUCUCAUGUUUUUCAGUAUUACAAAGAUGUUUUCCCAAAUAAAUUGCCGAAAAGAUUGCCUCCACUUCGGGGCAUUGAGCACCAAAUUGAUUUUGUGUCGGGCUCAUAAUUGCCCAAUAAAUCGGCUUAUAGAAGCAACCCGAUAAAUACCAAGGAAUUGCAAUGCCAAGUUGAGGAACUUCUCAACAAAGGGUACAUCAAGGAGAGUAUGAGACCUUUUGCAGUUCCGGUGUUACUAGUUCCCAAAAAAGAUGGAACUUGGCGUAUGUGCUUUGAUUAUCAAGCCAUCAACAAGAUAAUGGUAAAAUAUUGUCACCCUAUUACUAGGCUAGUGAUAUGCUUGAUAAUUGAGUGGUUCGUGUUUGUUUUCUAAAAUUAAUUUGAGGAGUGGAUAUCACCAAAUCUGUAUGCAAUCGGGUGAUGAAUGGAAAACCACCUUCAAGACCAAAUUCGAUCUCUAUGAAUGGAUGGUUAUGCCAUUUGGCCUAACAAAUGCUCCAAGUACUUUCAUGAGGCUAAUGAAUCAUGUGAUGAAGCUAUUUAUUAGAGAGUUUGUUGUUGUUUACCUUGAUGAUGUGUUAGUGUAUAGUAAGUCCUUAGAUGAGUAUGUAAAGCAUUUGCAAUGUGUGUUUGAUGUCCUCCAAAAGAAGUUACAUGUUAAUCUAGAAAAUUGUUCUUUUGGUGUCUAUGAGGUCUUAUUUCUCGGGUUUGUGGUGAGCUCAAGAGGGGUCAAAGUAGAUGAAUCUAAGAUUGACACUAUUAAAAAUUGGCCAACUCCCAAAACCGUAGGAGAAGUGAGAAGCUUCCAUGGGUUGGCUAGUUUUUAUAGACGUUUGGUCAAAGGAUUUUGCAUCAUUGUCGCCCCCUUGACCGAAGUGAUUAAAAAGGAUCGGCCUUUCAAGUGGGGAGAUGAACAAGCUAAGGCCUUUGAGGACUUGAAAGCUAUGCUCAUCUCAGCCCCUUUGCUAUAAUUGCCAAAUUUUGACCAGAUUUUUGAGGUUGAAUAUGAUGCUAGCAAAUCGGCAUAGGCACGGUUUUAAUGUAAGAAUUGAAGCCUAUUGCUUACUUUAGCGAAAAGCUCAAGGGAGCAACUCUAAACUACUCUACGUAUGAUUUAGAGUUGUAUGCCCUGAUUAGAGACUUGGCCACUUGGCAACAUUAUUUGUGACCCAAAGAAUGGAUUAUGAAUCCUUGAAGCAUCUACGGGCACAAGACAACUUAACCGACGACAUGCCAAAUGGAUUAAAUUUCUUGAAACUUUCCCUUAUGUUAUCCAUUACAAUAAGGGUAAAGACAAUGUGGUUGUCGAUGCUUUUUCUCGAAAACAUGUUCUUGUGUUUACUUUGUCAUCUAAGUUGAUGGGUUUGAAAGCCUCAAAUCUUUAUAUCCCGAGGACCCUCACUUCGUUCCUAUCUAUAGGGAAAGUGAUGAGUUAGAUAGGGAUAGGUGGGUUACGGAUAGGAGCUCCCAUCCCUAUACCACAUUUAAUGGAUAUUUGUUUAAGGGUAGACUAUUGUAUAUUCCCUCGAGUUCGUGGAGAGAAUUAUUUGUGAGGGAAGCACACAAUGGCGGUCUAAUGGGCCAUUUUGGGGUCGAGAAGACCCUCGAAAUUUCGGAAGAACAAUUUUUUUAGCCUAUAAUGCACAAGGAUGUGGCUCGAAUUUGCGGCCAAUGUGUUGAGUGCAAAAAAGCCAAGUCAUGGCUCCAACCCCAGGGGUUGUAGACCCUCUUGUCCACCCCUUUGCGUCCUUGGCUUGACUUAUCAAUGGACUUCGUAUUGGGAUUGCCGAGGACUAGAAGGGGGUGGGAUAGUGUUUUUGUCGUGGUGGACCGGUUUUCCAAGAUGGCUCACUUUAUUUCUUGUUCUAAAUGUGAUGAUGCGCCUAGUGUAGCCUCUUUGUUUGUUGAUAAUGUUGUGAAACUUCAUGGUAUUCCGAGGACCAUAGUGAGUGAUAGGGAUUCUAAAUUCCUAAGCCACUUUUGAAAGUCCAUGUGGGAUAGGCUUGGUACUAAGUUAUUUUCAACUUCAUGCCACCCACAAACCGACUGCCAAACGAAAGUAGUAAAUAGGACCUUAGGGUCUAUGCUACGGUCCAUGGUUAAGGGAAAAAUAACUUCUUGGGAGAAAAACUUACCCUUGAUUGAAUUUACUUAUAAUCGUGUCAUACACUCAAGUACAGGAAUGACACCCUUUAAGUGUGUAUACGGGAUUAACCCCCUCACCUCUUUGGAUUUAACCCCUUUGCCAAGUGAUCUUGUGAUAAGCUUAGAUGGAAGCAAACAGGCGGAGGCCAUCAAGAAUCUACAUGAGAAGGUGAGGUUCCGGUUGGAGAAGAAAAACCAAGAAGUUGCAAGGCGAGCCAAGAACGGAAGAAGAAAGCUCAUUCUUGAACUGAGGGAUUGGGUGUGGGUACACCUUAGGAAGGAUCGAUUCCCAUCUUAAAGGAAAGCUAAGUUGAAGCCGCGGGGUGAUGGUCCAUUCCAAAGGUUAGAAAGGAUCAACAACAAUGCCUACAAGAUUGAUCUAUCCCCGGUAUAUCAAGUGCACAACACGUUCAACAUGUGUGAUCACUCUCGGGUGAAAACGGCGGAAGAUGGCAAUGAUCCAAAUUUGAGGACAAAUUCCCUUCAAAAUGGAGAGGAUGAUAUGGAGAUUCCUAGAUCGAUACCUUUCACACGAAGUCAAGCACGUGAAUUGCAACGACUACAAGCCUUAUUCUCAUCCUUAGCCGUGUGAGAGGCCUUUGUGAGCCCAUCUAAGGGACUUUAUUUGUUGAAGUGUGAAGAGGCCCAUCAAGACACCCCAAACCGGCCCACUUAAUGCCCAGGGUGUCUUGGUCUUUUGUCCCUCUUUUGUAAAUGCCUAUAUAAACCAUGUGUUAGGACUAUUUCUUAGUUAGUUUAUUCCUAUAAUUCAAGAAACAAAAGACUUGUAAUAUUGGUGACUUCUCUUUUUCAUUUUAGAGAGGCCAAAAUCGAAACCUCACUAGUAGAGUGAUACUAGUGUUGUAUCUUGGCUAAAACUAGGAUCUUGGGGUUUUUGAGUUUCUCUUGGUCCAAGUAAGAAUUUGGUGUUGACAUUCAUUAGUCUUAGGGUCCUUUCUCAUUGUUAGGGUUCUUAGAUUAUUGAAUAUUGUAUGUCAAGUUUCUAUACCUUUUGUAAUAUUAAUAACAUUGUGUUGUUGAAUCUAAAAGUCUAGUGAAGCCGUGUGAGGCUCUUUCGAUUCACUAGCAAAAUUGUCAUCUGUUGUUCUUGUUGUAAACUCAUUUUUCUAGUCAAAACAAGUAUUGAAGCCUAGUGAAGCCGUGUGUGGCCUUUUUUGAUUCACUAGCACUUUGUUGUUCUUAUUAUUGCUUCUUGUGUUGGCUUGAAUCUCUUGAUACACACUUAGCUUUGUAUCAGUUAGGGCGGCACAUGCUUGGUGCAGGCGGCAUAGGAGGCGGAGGUGACGGUUUAUUUGGUAGGGGACUUGGUGCUAGUGGAAGUCUUGGAUCAGCAAGUGGUGGCACCGGAAUUGGUAGAGGAUUGCUUGAUGGUAAAGGUUUUGGCUCUGGUGGCGACGGACACUAAAUUAAUUAAUCUCAAUUAUAAGAUUAUUUUUUCGUAAUAAGUGGUGUUUUUAUUAAUUUGGAGAUGAUGGUGUGAUCAUGAAAUUGUGUAUAAUUUUGAUGUGAUAAUUUUUUUUGACUCUUGGAUUUUGAUAUUCAUCAAGAAAAGCUUCUUGAUUUAUCCAAUCUUUCAGAUGUUGUAUCAAUUAUAUGUAAUUGUUUGAUUUCUUCUUUCCAAUUUGUGGGAUUGCAAUUGUAUCAAGAGCUUAAUGGAAAAUGAAUUGAUUUUACAUAUUAUGUUCAUAAUUGGUCCAAAGUAACUCCAAUUAUGGGCUGGUAAUAAAGUGGUAUAAUACCAAUAAUUAAUACAAAGACAAUAGUGAUUUUUUUUUUCAACCCACCAUGUAUUAUAGGAAAAAUAAUAUAAAGGUAUAUGUCUUAACUUACCAUAAUUACACUAAUUUCCAAUUAUAAAAAUUUCAAAUAAUUAUGUAUCUUCGUUGGAUGUAUUGGAAGCUAAUUAUGUAUCUCGACAGACUCAAAAUCGAAAAAAAUGUAUCAAAAGCUAAUUAUGUAUUUUUACAAAGAAAAAUGUAUCUUUCUUGGAUGUGCUAUGUAUCUUUACAAAGACAGAAUGUAUCUUCGUUGGAUGUAUUAUGUAUCUCGACAGACUCCAAAUCGGAAAAAAAAUGUAUCAGGAGCUAAUUAUAUGUCUUUACAAUGAAAAAAAUGUAUCUUUAUUGGAUGUAUCAGGACCUAAUUAUGUAUCAUGACAGACCCAAAAUUGAGAUUUUCAUUAAUUAUGCAAAAUAUCAGAAUUUUUUGUAAAUAAACUUCAAAUUAUCGGAAUUUAUAUUGUUUAUCCAUUAUUUAUUCUAAAAAUAACACAAAUACACAGCUUAUGUUUCCAUUAUUACAAAAAAUUCCAAACUCCCCAAACAUAUUAUAAAAAUGUCAUUUUUUAUGUUUCACUCUCUAAAAGCACAUAUACAUAAGGAGUUGGGCUUGUUUCACCGCUUUUUCCCCUAAAAACAAGGUUGCAAUCAAGCAUCGGUUACCAUUUUGAAUACAACCGUACUUGGUUCCAACUGAUAACAUUCAAGUUUAACUUAAUCACCUUUUAAUAUUCUGAUUUUUAAGAUUUAAGGUUAGUAAUUUUUCUUCAUCUUUUACUUGAUCGAGUUUUGGAUAUUUUACAAUGAACAAAUUGUUGUAUGUUCUUAUUAAGUAAUUUUUUGGGUUUCAACUUUACCAAAAUUUAGUUGUUAUAUCAUUAUUUUUCCCUUUCCUUUCAAAAUCGUCUAUUUGAAGUACUAAAUUAACAAUUUAGUACUUAGUAAAUGGAUGAUUCUCCUUCUUUUAGUUUAGGAUUAACUCAGUUAAAGCAUAAUGAACCAAGAAAUUCGAUAGUUGGGUUCGUUCCCGGAGUUUUUGAUUAUGAGGAACCUAACUUUGAUGAAAAUAGAUCUAAACAUCGAAACGACCCUAACAAGAUGAAUUUUUUUAAAAAAGUUGUUGCUGAAAAGUCAAAAAAAGCAAUUGGAGAAUCCUCAAGGAAAGCCAAAAAAAGAUGAUACUGCACGUCCACGACUUCCUAAUGUAUUUAUGAUUUUUUUAUUUUAUUUUAUCUGGGUAUUUUGUUUUUUCAGUAAUCGAAGGUUUUAAAACUGUAAACUAAUACGAGAUUGUUGUUAGUUGUUAGGUAGAUAAUGAAUUUUUUCAUCAGUUUUAGUUUCUGUCGUAAUUUGUUUGUGGAAAUACAAACAAAUCUUUGUACAUGUUGGGUAAAUACAUUUGUGUUGAGCUGUUUGUUUGAGCUACAAUGAAUUAUAUAAUUCAUAUACAUAACUAAUAAAUGAGUGUCUGUAAUUUGUAAGUAUGUAUGUUUUGCACAUACAUUAUUGAGCACAUAUACAUAAGUUAUUUAUGACAUUAUGCUUUGUUAUGUUAGUUUGAUGCACUGAACAUGUCAUGUGUAUAUGAAUAACAUAUACAUAAACUUUCACAUGUUGUUAAACUACUACUGAGAUGUCUAGUUCGUAUACAGCAUGUUUGCUUUUGUAUAUGUGUUCAUUUUUUGUAUGAGUAUUUGAGGCAAUGACAACAUCUAUGUAUAUGUUAAUAUAUACAUCACUGGUGAUAUGUUGUUAUCUGUGUUAUUGAAUUCAUAGGUCACACACUUCAGCUUAUGUAUAUGUUGACAUAUACAUCACUUGUGAGUCGAUGUACAAUAUUUAUGUAUAUGUUAAUAUAUACAUAACUGGUGAUAUGUGUUAGCGGUGUUCUUGAAACCUUAGGUCACACACUUCAGUUUAUAUGCAGAUGUUCUUAAUAUACAUAAGUUUUGUAUAUUCAUUGACAACAUAUGCUCACAUAUGAUGCGUUGUUCCAUUUUUCAAUAGGGUAUGAAAUACAGGAUAAAAAAGGUCCCUACGCAUCUGUUGCAUUUCGGUAGUUAUUGAAACCAAAAUUUUGGAGCAGACAUAAAUGAGUAUCUUGGUGAAGAAGUUUAAAAUCUAUUCCGUCAAAUAAUUUCUGGUUCAUUUCUAGACAUGCCGCAAUGUAAUUACCAGGGUCAAAUAUCGAAAUGCUUACUUAUGCUUGAGAUAGUGCAAGACAACCAGGAGAAAAUUCACGUUUACGUGCAUAAAAUCAAUCUCAAUUUUUCUAUUAUUUAGUAUGCCAUUAUAUCCGGUCUUAAAUGUACAGGAAACAUCAAAGAAUGCCUCUUUACUGAAUUAUCGAAGUCCGCAUUAAUGACAAAGUAUUUUCCAGGUUCAAAAAGUUCUGUCAAAAGGGCUCUUUUUAUACAGCGAUUCAAGUUGGACAACUUUAACAAUAAUUCUGAUGCUUUGAAUAUGUCAAUAAUUUACUUCAUUCACACCUUUGUGUAUUCACAAAUACGUGAUGCUACCAUUAGCAAAUUAAAUUUUGUGAUGGUUGAGAAUGACAGUUACGAAUAAUUUUCAUGGGGGAAGAGUUCGUUUCAAAAGCUUAUUGCAACGUGGAGACAAGAUUUUUUUGUUGAGAAACAGUUAUACUCGAUGGGUGGAGUGCCUUAUGUGCUGAAUGUUUGAGUGUAUGAAUGUUGUUCUGAGGUAGAUAGUACGAUAGCUAAGCGGGUAGAAAAUGUAAUUCUACGAAUUUUCAACUGGAAGGUGGUUGGUAUCAAAGUAAAGUACGAGAAGUUUAUGGGUGGUAUGUUCAGUAGGGUAAGUAUAUAGUAUGUUUUUUUGACCUUAUGUUUAUAUUUCAAUGUGCUAACUUUAACAGAGUGAUAAUGUUGUCAUUAUUUAUGAUGUAACAGUUUGUAUACAAUAAUUUAUGACCAACUCAUGAAGAAGUGCAAACUCUUGAUUUCUAAAUGAUUAAGGAAUUUGAAAUAAACGACGCUGAGUCUGGAUUUUCACAUGAAACUGCUACCGAGCGUUCUAGUAAAAGACCUGCUAUUGACAUACAUUCACAUUCGAACCUUGACAUACAAGGUUUGGAGGAUUUUAGUAUAGUCUCACCUACAAAAAUUCUCAAGAAGGCAGAUUUGAUUACAGAUGCAUCAGCAUCACAACUUACUAAGAGGCGUAAGACUGUCCGUUUUGACUUUUGAUGAUGCAAAUGUUGAGGAGCAAGUUUGUGAAAAAACACCAUCUUUUGUUUCAACAAGAACUGUGCCAACUGAAAAAACACUAACUUCUGGUUCAGAGCGUGUUCUUGUUGCAAAGACAACUCCAUCAUCAUCCAACAAGUCAGUUCGUCCGGACAAUUUUAAUGAAAAGUGGGACGAGAUAAAGUUAUUUUUGCAGUCUUAUGUAAGUUUAUUCAUAUAGUGAAUACUAUAAAACAAUUUUUAUAUAACAUUAACAUGUUUACUGUCUUUGACUAUGCAGGUUGACACAAAAAUCAACUUUCUUCAUGAUCUAAUUGUCAAACAACAUGAAGACUCAAAUGAGAAAAUGGAUAAACAACACACCGAACUCAUGCAAAUAUUGAAACACAACAACAAAAAAAAACAAAAAGGUAAACUAAAUUUCAUUUACGUUGUAUAAUUAACAAAUUUGAAUUUUAUUUUGAUUUAUAUUUGUGUAUUUAUAUAUUUUUUGGAUUAGAAUUGUAAUAUGCAUGUUUUAUAAUAUACAUAAAGGUGUGACUUAUGUUAUAUAAUAUACACACAUUCUGUUAUGUAUAUUAAGUUUAACACAUGACCAUGAUAUGUAUAUUGAUAUAUUAGUAGUGAAUUAUGUUAUGUAUAGUAUCUAACAUACAUAGUUGUUCUAUGUUUAGUUCACAAUAAAAACAAAACUUGUACUCAUAAGCCUGCUAUGUAUUUUACUGCUGUGUAUAUUAAAUAUCAAUAUUAAAAUUCUAUGUAACAUAUACACAUAAGACUACUAUGUAUAUUUGUAACGCCCCGAAAUUAGGUCCCGAGAUGUCACACGGUGCUUAGGGUCACAAGUGACUCCAAGCUAACCCUUCUACUGGCAUAACUCAUAAGCAACUGAAUUAAAAGUACAAAUCUAUACACAUCUGUAGAAAAUAACUCUUUUCUGAAUCUGAUCGAAUACAAAACUGAAUUUACAAGAUUACAAUUCUGCCUUUACAACCAAAACUGAAACGGAAUACAUCAACUUCUACUGACUGUCUAUGAAGCUUCUACUAGUACUGACUGUAGGUAGCCGGGUCAUGACUCCCGACUAUCCCAAUUCAAUAUGACUGAAUAAAGAAAAUACAACACUAUUAGUUCUGCAUAACUGACCCAAGCCCUUGAAUCAAAAGGACUCAUCACUUGCUAACUGGAUACCAUGAACUUACUGGAUCUGAAGGUGCAUACUAUACCUUGUACCUACAUUCCGAGAAAAUAUAGCCCAACACACAGGGUGUGUGUGGGCCAGUACCAUGGAAAUGUACCGAGCAUAUGGGGGUGCAAUGCAUAUAUAAAAUAAUAUCUUAAUAUCAUCACAGUUUAUAAAAUUAUGCAUGCUGAUAUAAAUGACUCACUUAGCUCGAAUUAAAUCAUUAAAGUCAUGGAUGAAUAAUACAUGUAAAGUAAGACAAGUGAGUCAUUACAAUAAGUUCUCAAUUCGCUUUCAUCUCAGUUUUCAAACCAUCAAAGAAAUCAAAUAUCAUAAAAAUUCUCUUUAGAAUAUAGUAUUUCAAUAUUUCGGAAAACAAUAACUUUCUCAUAACCAAUUCUUCAAAAUAAUAUAUUCCUCUUAGAUAGAAUGGUACACACACACACAUUGGGAGUCUCUUACAACCGACAUAAACCAUGUGAGCUACAUGGAGUCCAACGUUCUACCCACGUUGGGGAGAGUCGCCCUACUCCUUGCCAUCGAAGCAGGACCUUAAAUCAUCAAUCCAAACACUAGUGAUCACUAUAUAAAUCAGCCUCAAGCUCACAACCUACGGGGGCAUGUAGUUCUAGGAAAGUACCAAAACAGCUAUACCUCCCGCUCGGUGCUAAAGACUACUCCCGGACUUAGCUCAGAUCUUUUCAAAAGAAAAUCCACUAAUAAAUAGUUCAACAAUUCACAACGGGAGCCAUCUUGCUACCCUUUUCAUAAUAAUCAAUAAAAGUGGAUUUCUUUUCUNNNNNNNNNNNNNNNNNNNNNNNNNNNNNNNNNNNNNNNNNNNNNNNNNNNNNNNNNNNNNNNNNNNNNNNNNNNNNNNNNNNNNNNNNNNNNNNNNNNNNNNNNNNNNNNNNNNNNNNNNNNNNNNNNNNNNNNNNNNNNNNNNNNNNNNNNNNNNNNNNNNNNNNNNNNNNNNNNNNNNNNNNNNNNNNNNNNNNNNNNNNNNNNNNNNNNNNNNNNNNNAAAAUCUAGAAAUUUAGCCAUAAGGCACAAAAUAUCAUCAUUCUCAUAUAAUUCCACUUCUAAAAUAUCAAAAAUAUCAUAAUCUCGUGAUAAUCAAUAUAGGAUAUAAGUUCAUGCUUCAAAAUCAUAGUAAAACAUAUGAAAUCCAGAACUUCGUAAAAGAAAGUAUUUUUGGGCACAAGAACAAAAGAGUAUUCUUGUUGAAAAAGCCCCACAUACCUUAAACUGGAAGCUUUGAAUGACUUUCCGAAUGACGUAAUGCUAUUCACGAACUUUUGGGUGUCCCUCAUAGACUUCGUAAUGGGAAUUCUGAUUAUGUAAAAAUUAUAGAAUUCUCACGGUUGAAUCUCUAGCUAUUGGGGUUUUUAUGUUGAAACCCUAAAGGUUGUUCUUGGUGAUUUUGAGAGAAAGUAAACUUAUUUUGAUGUUGUGGGAGUUUAAUCCCGUGUUAUAGACAUAUAUAGGAGUGUUUUUGGCACUUGGAAGUGAGGUAUGCGGCGCACAACCCAUGGCCGAUCUUAAGGCGUGCAUCGCACACCUUAUGGAAGAUAUUUAAGUGUGUCUCGCGCUCCCAAUCGCACACAUUUGAUUGGGCGGCGCAUUGCCCAUCGCACACCCUUACUGCCUCUCACAAAAAUGAGCAUAACUCUUCGCUCGGGUAUCAGAUUUUUACGAAAUUGGUAUCGUUGGAAAGCUAAUUCAAUUAUCUACAAUUUGAUAGGUCUUGAGAUGANNNNNNNNNNNNNNNNNNNNNNNNNNNNNNNNNNNNNNNNNNNNNNNNNNNNNNNNNNNNNNNNNNNNNNNNNNNNNNNNNNNNNNNNNNNNNNNNNNNNNNNNNNNNNNNNNNNNNNNNNNNNNNNNNNNNNNNNNNNNNNNNNNNNNNNNNNNNNNNNNNNNNNNNNNNNNNNNNNNNNNNNNNNNNNNNNNNNNNNNNNNNNNNNNNNNNNNNNNNNNNNNNNNNNNNNNNNNNNNNNNNNNNNNNNNNNNNNNNNNNNNNNNNNNNNNNNNNNUCCUCGAAUGUGGAUAAUUAACCUGAAACACAGAGAAAUAUUAGUCUUCAAGAUAUCAUGUGUAACUGAUAGAACUGAAUCACUGGAUCUCAAGAAUAAUGAGCUACUGAACUGGUCUGCAAGUGCAUGAAUCCUUAAGAAAAAUAACUAUAUGGCUAAGAUAGAAACGAGAGUGUCAACUUAUGAGUAACCAUUACUUUGCACUGGAUCUUCUCAUGAGAAAGGAUGAGAGGUCUAUGACAUGAAAAUUCAGAGUAUUACAACAUCCCCCUCUUGGGAUCGUUGGUCCUCGAACGAUAAUAAUUUGAUGAAAAUACUAGGAAGAGACUGUGAUACUACACAGGAUACUUACGAACUGAAUCAUGACUUAAUAUAUGAAACUGAAACUGAUGCAUGAACUGAGCUGAAUUCAUAAUUUAAUUGGACACAAACACAUUGCCUCUUGGAAUGUACAUACGUAUAAGACUGCGGAUAGUAAGACUAGCUGGAAAAUUAAGAAUCUAUAGGAGCUUAUCUCCUUGCUUACUAAACUAGAUUACAGGCUAUAUGGACUGGAUCAUACUGACUNNNNNNNNNNNNNNNNNNNNNNNNNNNNNNNNNNNNNNNNNNNNNNNNNNNNNNNNNNNNNNNNNNNNNNNNNNNNNNNNNNNNNNNNNNNNNNNNNNNNNNNNNNNNNNNNNNNNNNNNNNNNNNNNNNNNNNNNNNNNNNNNNNNNNNNNNNNNNNNNNNNNNNNNNNACUAAAUCACAAGAUACAACAUGCCAAACCACAAUACUAGUCUAAAUCACAAGGUUCAAUAUUCUAUAUCUUCUUAGAGCUCACACCCUAAGCAUAACAUGCCUUACCACUUCAAUGACUAAUUUAAAACUCUUGAUAUGGAUUCACUAGUGCAUAUUGCAUUCAUCAUCUUACUCCCAACAUGACAUUCAAGCCUAUCAUUAAAAAUCACAUAUAACUUUAAGGCAAAUACCCCUAAAGGAAUACUUCGCAUAUUCUCUAACCUUUAUCAACAAUAAUUUUCUUGCACUAUUCUUAAAAACAUACACAAAAUUUUCUAACUAACCAUGACAUGUAUCAAAGACUUGGCCUCAAUCUUACUUCACACUUUAGCCUUAGAUAGAAAACCUUAAAUAAUCUUUCUUAAAGAGGGUCAUCAAAUCUCUCACAUCUAAACCAUUGCUUAUCCACUAUCAUCGCCACAAUCGCACACAUUUGAUUGGGCGGCGCAUUGCCCAACGGACACCCUUACUGCCUCUCACGAAAAUGGGCAUAACUCUUUGCUCGGGUAUCGGAUUUUUUUGAAAUUGGUAUCGUUGGAAAUAUAAUUCAAUUAUAUACAAUUUUAUAGGUCUUGGGAUGAAAAAUUCCAUGUAUAUUAAGAGAUAUACACAUUUGAAGUUGACCCUUGUAAAAUUGAAUGUCAAACUUUGGAUGAAUCAAUUGGUCUUAGCUCAACUUUGUUCUAGGCCAUUGCUAUGAACAUUUUUCACCUCUAAACUACUCCAUAGACUAGGAUAAUGAUCAUGAAACUUGUAUUCAUGUGAGAAUCACUUGGAUUAAAGCUUAGAUGCGCAGGAACAACGGUUAGAAUUCUAGCACGAAAAUACGGGGUAUUACAAAAAACUACUGUAAUAUUGACUCCUAGUCUCCUUGAAGUCACUAAGUAUACCUCCACUAUUGUCUAACCAAGAAGAUGAUCGAUUCAAUCGAGCAAAACUAGAGUUGGGGUUGUUAUGGAUCCAACGUGGCUUGACCAACCUAGUUUUGCUAGAUUGGAUCGAUCGCCUUCUUGGUUGGACACUAGUGGAGGUAUAUUUUGUGAAUUCAAUGAGACUAGGAGUAAACAUUACUAUUUUCUCUAGACCACUAUCCAUCUGCUAAAUAUGAAUCAACCUUGACGGUUCAAGCAUUUCCGUUGAUGCUCAUUAUAUGAAGUAAUUAUUUUCUCCUUUGACACCUUUUUUUAACUUGAACUGUUGCAGGUGGACAUUUACCUGUGUCUUUUACGACUCCUCCUGUUAGCUCCCUCCCCCUCCAAAGUCUACCUACUUAACAGGAGGAGCCCUAAAAGUUGCACAAAAGUCCAAAGCGUUCAAGCAUAUCUCCCUCUAACUUCUUCAGCAAAAAGUUGCUCAAAAGUCCCAAGAAAGAUCAUUUUAAGGUUUUGAGAUGUAUCAUUUUACUAGUAACAAAUUUUGGAUCCCAAGAAAGAUCUCAAAAUUUGAAGAACUGGAAACUUUUUGUCCCGUUUGUUUGUUGCCAUUACCUCACGAUUUGGCAUUAAUAUUAUUGUGUUUCGGUUGUUACAUAAUUUGUUGUUGUUACUAUUCCUUUUCUGUAUGCUCUACUGGUUUCCUUAUUAGUUCCUAUGUUUUCUUCAUUGUCAUUUUCCUUUUCAUAACUACUUUGUUGUGGUUAGUUUUCUUCUUGUUGAAUAGAUGUAACGAAUUAGGGCCUCAUUAUCACUAGCCAAUAUGCUUUUCUCUCAUGCCUUUCUUCGUUCAUGAUUUGAUAUUCUGGUUAAGAAGAAACACUGGAAGAAGUUCAAAAAAGAGGUGAUUGCAGCGCUGAUUGGAGCAACUAUCUACCACACAUGGAGGGCAAGGAACUGGAAGUUGUUCCAGCAGAAAAGCUUGAUAACAGCUGAAGUGAUUAGGCAGAUAAAAGAGGAAAUAGUACAUAGAAUAGAAAUAUUAAGUAAUUCAAAGAAAGCACAGAGUAGUAGAGAGUUCAUAAACCAAAUUAUUUGUACUUGAUGUAUUUUUCCUUUUUUUUUCAUAGAUGCUGAUGGAAGUGUAAAUAGACUACUUGAGGCUUACCCUUAGUACUGCUUGAGACGGUUAAAGGGUAAGGGAUCUCUAGGUGCAUUAUUUUGUUGGUUAAUGGUACUUUACAUGGUUACCAAAAUAAUUAAAUUCACAACUUUGCAGCAUAAGGUAGAUAAUAAUUUUUAAAUUAUAAUAGAUUCCAUUUUUGAAUGAGAGUCUUGAAGUAGCGGUAAAGUUGUUGUCAUGUGACCUAAAGGUCAAGUCAUGGAAGCAACCUCUUAGACAAAUACAAGCUAAGGUAAGGUUGCUCAUUGUAUCUGUUAUAAUUUAGAAUCUGAGUGAUAUUAAGCUUUACUAAAUGUUGAUCUUCUGCUAUAUUACAUUUUAUUUGUUAUGCUAUAAAUGUGAAUCGUCUUUUUAGAUUAUUCAUGCUAUUAAUGUAGUUUAAUCUAUGAAAAUGGCCAAAAAAGGUAGGCUUUCAAUAUAAUCUCACACAAAAUAUGGAUAUUCCUAUGUACAAAAGUUAUAUCAAAGAACGUCAAAAGAACAAAGAUUGUCCAAGUUUCUGUUCCUUUUGAAUGGAUUUGUAGUUGUAUGUCCAUGUUAAAUGGAGGGAAAUGUAGCCUGUCCAUGUUAUAUUCUCCCCUAGCUUCUAGCGAGGCAUUUGCUGGGGCUCGUUAGCAACCCCGUCAGCUACUCUAUUCCCUUCUUCGAAAAUAUAUUGAAUUAUAGCGUGAUAAAAAAUUUUGCAUUAGGAGUUGAUCUGUUGAAUAUAUUGUCCCAAAUAUUCCAGUGCAUUAGUUGAGCUAGAGUCGUACUCUGAUGUUAGCAUAUUGGUCGAGGGAGUUCAAAAUUCACUUUGAGGUUCCAAAUUCAAAUCCCAAGUACUACAUUUUUAUUUUUCGAACCCCCUUAGUGAAAAAAAAUCAUUGAUCCGCCAUAGAUCGUGCAUAUGCUUCAGCCGUGUUGUUGGCAAAAUUGUCUUGUAGACAAUUACAGAAACUCUUGUAGUUUGAGUAUGCAAUAAAAUCACUUAAGGAUAUUUCACCGGAAUUAAGGUAUAUCCGCAAGAUGCAAUAAGCUUAUCUAGUAUUAAACUAGGCGCUAGAAAGUAAUAAAGAUUUUAGAUUUGUAGACAGCCCAACAAAAGAAAGAUAGUAAGGAUCAUAAAGACCACGAGUAAGUUGUCGACUUCUAAAACAAUCAAGAAUUAGUAGCCUGUUUGGCCAAGCUUAUUUUUCUCCAAGAGUGCUUCUUCUUUUCUCAAAAGUGCUUUUUCAAAAAUGAACUAUUUGACAAAGCUUUUGAAAGAAAAUAAGUGCUUUUGGAGAGUUAAAAAAAAACAGUUUUUCAUAAGCUAAAAAGAGUAGUUUUUCCUAAUAGAACUUAUUUUAAAAACACUUGUAAAAAGCAUGGUCAAACACUAAUUGCUGCUCAAAAGUGUUUUUUCAAUUUAUUGACCAGAUACAAAUUGCUUCUCACGGACAAGAGGGAGUUUCUCGGCUGAUAAGCAUCCCUCACUGCCAGCCCGAAGGUUGUGAGUUCGAGUCAUCAAAGAAACAAACGGAAAAAAACUGUUUCUGAAUGUCAAAAGUGCUUUUUUGAACUUUCAAAAAUAAGCUGAUUUUAUAAGUUUAACCAAACAGGCCAGUUGAAACAGUCAUAAUGAUAAUUGACCAUUACGACAAUUAAUUCCACCAAAUUAAAUUUCUUCCAAUAAUGGAAUCAAUUAUUUGACCAAAAUGGGAGAAAAAAACCCAUAAUGAAUUCUGUUGACCAAAAUUAAUAGUGGAUAUAAUCUUAAAAGAUAUUUUUAUUCUUUUUGAGAUAUUAGUGAUAUUUUUUCUAUGUAAAGUACUUGUGAUAACCAUAUUGAUUUGAGAAAAAUUGCUAUUUAUAAUACUUUCUGUAUAGUUUUUGAACCUAUAACAGUUCAUUCACAAAAUCUGCACAGCUACGAUGGUAGAAGCUACAGUAAUAUUGACUCCUAGUCUCCUUGAAGUCACUAAAUAUACCUCCACUAAUGUCAAACCAAGAAGAUGACCCAUUCAAUCCAGCAAAACCAGGGCCAGGGUUUGUUAUGGUUUCAAUAGUUGGCUUGACCAACUUGGCAAAUUGUUGGUCAAUCCCAAUAAUGGAAAGCACUCUCCAUCCAAGGCCUGCAAAGUGAGGUGAUGGAUCCAGUGCAAGGGAAACAUGGCAAGCAUAUAUUGAGAAUGGAAUGAAUUUUUAAGUGGUUUGGGUAUUAUAUGAUUAACAACACCAUUGCGAACAUCACCCAAUCUUCCUGUGAAAGAUUGGGUGAUGAUGUAGUUAGCAAUGGAAUUGUUAAUCAUAUAACAUCCAGGCAACUUGACAAUUCAUUCUAUUCUCAGUUUGUCUAUGUCAUGUUUUCCCAAGCAUGGAUCCAUCACCUAGCGUUGCAGGCCUUGGCUGGAGAAUGGUUUCGAUUAUUGGGAUUGACCAAGAGUUUUUCAGGUUGGUUAAUUCAACUGUUGAAUCCACAUCUCCUGGCCCUAGUUUUGCUGAAUUGCAUCGAGCAACUUCUUGGUUUGACAUUUGUGGAAGUAUAUUUUGUGACUUCAAUGAGACUAGGAGUAAACAUUACUAUUUUCUCAUUAUGAAGCAUUUCUGUCGAUGUUCAAGUAUUUCCGUGGAUGAAGUAAUUAUUUUCUCCUUUUAUACCUUUUUUUACAUGAACUGUAUUUUCUCAACUGCUAUGUUUUCUUCAUUGUCAUUUUCCUUUUCAAAAAUACUUAGAUUUGUUGCACUUGCACCGAGGGUCCUUUGAGAACAACCUCUUUACCUCCACGAGGUAGUGUAAGAUCUGCAUACACUCUACCCUCCCCAGCUCCCACUGUGGGAUUUCACUAGAUACAUUGUUGUUGUUGUACUUCAAGAUUUCAUAUCAUAGCUGAAUGUUGAACUUGUAGAGCAAUAGAAUGUGUACGCAGCGGAUGGACCUGCAUCCACAGUUUCAGGCUCAGUUACAUGUGCAGAAAAAUUUAAAGAUUGUUUGUUAGAUGGUGUAUAUAAUUGGAACAGGUGAUAAUUUUUAACAUUGAUCUCUACUUACACUAUAUGUGUUUGGAUUUUAUGUUACUAUAUCAAUCUAAUUUUUAUUUUUAUUCUGAUCUGUGCAUUGUACUCUAUCAUAUCUCGUUGCAGAUUGUACAUGAAUGAAGGUUCACCUUUUUCAUGCAUGUUGUUCCAAUUGUUAACCCCUCCGUUAGUUCAAACUAACUGACAUGCCAUGUCAAAGCCUUUCCUCUUAGCAUCGUUAAGGCUUCUCUUGGCAGAAAAAUUAAAUUCCAAAUUCUGCACUGAGUUGAAGAGGGCUUUUUUUAACAGCAUAUUGCACACCUCUGUAACAUAUGAUACGUGACUCUUCUCUGUAGUGUCUUAGCUUAGUAAACCUAUCGCUUCAGGUGCUCGUCAUGCAAGUGAAACAUUUUGUGCCGGCUCUUACAGGCAUACGGAGAAUACCAACUGUUUCAUUCUUGAGGUAUGUUCCUCUAAUUCCGCUAAUAUUUUGUUCACUUUUGACUGAAUUGAAGUAAGUAUUGAAACGUGAUAUCUGCAUACUGUGUCGAAAUCAGUCAAGGGAUAUCAUAACAGGAGUUGCGAGAGAGGUGAAGGAAGAAAUCCACAAGAAACAUAUUUCCUGCCUAAACGAGUAGGAAAUACGUAAGGACAAAUUGUUUUGAUAGAUAUUCACGUCCUCUAUCGGUUCUUAAUGCCUUUAUACUUUUGUCUAAUUGAUUCUCAACUUCAUUCAUAUAUCUUUCGAAGCAUUCAAGUGCUUCUGAUUUAUGAGAUAUCAAAUAGACAUAACCAAAACGCGUGAAAUCGUCAAUGAAUAUAAUGAAAUAUGAAGCACCAGUCCUUGCCCUUACAUUCAUUGGACCACAGAUAUCAGAAUGGAUUAAUUGCAAUGAGAAUUCGGCUCUUUUAGCCUUCUCAAAUGGUUUACGUGUAAUCUUUCCGACAAAACAAUUUUGACAAGUUGGCAUUUCAACUUUGGAGAAAGAAUCUAGAUGUCCUUUCUUUGCUAAUCUAUUCAUUCGGUCUUGCCCUAUGUGACCCAAUCCAGCAUGCCAUGCAAGUAUAUUAACAUCAUUAUUACUUGAAUAACACGACAUUACACAACGGUCAACAUAAUAGUUAUAAGUCGAAGGAUUACAAUCUAAAAUAAUAAAGCAAUCAUAACGAUGUCCAAAAUCAUAAAAAACAUUAUCUAGAGUAAUUCUUAUACAAUUAAUACUAAAGAACAAAUGAAACCGGCAUCUAAAAGAACAGACACUAAAUUUCGUCGAAUUUCUGGAGCAUAUAUAGGACGCUAUGCAACAUUAAAGACCGGUUUUCAUGCAAAUCUACUUUGCAAGUGUCAAUCCCUUUGACUUCAAGUCUUGCAUUAUUUCCUACAUAGAUCCACCUUGAUCCAGGUGAAACUCGAUAAAACUCCACAAAUGCUUCUCUAUCUAGACUCAGAUAGUCGGUGGCUUCUGAGUCUACAAUCCACAUAGGAUAAGAUUCAGUGAAUAAAGCAGUGCUAGAAACAUAUGUAGCACUUGGAGAUGCAUUUAUAAAUGUUAUCUUUUUCUCCUCAGGACAUUCACGAGAAAAAUGCCCCAGAACUUGGCAAUUUUAGCACUUCAUCUUGCUCGUCUUUCUUCUUGAAAAACCUUUUUCCCUUUUUGGAAUUUGCCUUGUUCUUUUUCUCAGAUGGUCCUUCUUUUGUCUCUUUACCCUAUCCGUUCUUUUUCCACUUCUUCUUGCGCCUGAAUCUUGAAGAGUUAUUACCACUUCAUUCUGCCAUAAAGGCAUUAAAAGCAGCUUUAGCAGUGCCAAACCGCUCAUCUUCAAGUUCAACGUGACGAGCAACAUCUGAAAAGGUUUUGAUGCUAUCAUUGUGGGUUAAGUUGACCUUCAAGUGUUCCCAACUGUUGAGAAGAGAUCGAAUCACUUCCUGAACCUGCUGCUCAUCCGAGAAAAUAUUAUCAGCACUUUUGAGUUGAGCUAUCAUAUUCGACAUCACCCUAAGGUGUUGUUUGAUGUUCUAAUCAUGAUGCUUCUUGUAAGUGUCAAACUUGAUAAUCAGCUGUCUGAGGCGGGUGACAAAAGUACCCCAUAUGUUCCUCGUAAGUGUGCCCAGAUGGCAUUGGCAGUAGGAAAUUCCUCACACUCAUGUAUGAGGUCAUCAACCACAGAACUUACAAUGAUUCCACGUGCAAUGGAAUCAGCCUUUUUCCACGCCGUAUAAGCUUCAAGGUCUAUUUUGUGUUGUGCAGUGUUGUACAUACCACAUCUUAUGACUUCAAAUGUCGUAGUUGUCUCCAUUUAGUUUUCUCCUUUGUUCAAGUCAGUAAUUAUGCUUUUAGAUGCCAUGUCUGUUAUUAAGAGACAAUUACGCAAGUGUGUUAUCAAUCAUGCAUGCAAAUUACACUUAAGAAUCCAAUCAUCAUAUACAAACUAAACACUUGAUCAAAUAAAAAAAUUAAUUUCUUAACAUGUAUUAGGAUGAUAGCUUUCAAUUAAGUCAUUUUAAACUCAAAUAAAUGAAUGAAAUUCACGUAAAAAGAUAUAAACAACUUAAUAUAUAUAAUAUAUAAAGUUAAUAAGUAAUUUCAUGUUACAAGUCAAUCUAAAAAAUAAAAGUCAUUUCACAAAUAUUCUAGAGGACUUAUGUACACCCAAAAGGCUCGCUAGGCCAAAUCUCGUGGUAAACAUCAAUUAAUCUCUAGCCCCAAGGGUCAUGGAGAGAAUUUGCUAAAAUAACUAAUUCUUCCCAAUCCUAGACUUUUACAUAGUUUUCUAGUUCUACUCGUUUCAUCUCAAACAGAUGUGUAAAAGUAGCAAUACUAAUGUUAGGUGACAUCUUAAAAGACUUGAAUUCUUUUAGUUUCUUCUAUAUUUCCCUUCGUAUAGCCCUUUCAUUCCAUAACAGGUUUUGUGUCGCACUGGGGACACCAUUUCGUAUGAUCUCUCGACCUCGAAAAUAUGCUCUUUGACGACGUGCUCUUCCACUUUGUCUCGUUGUUCGACAUCCAGAACUCUCACUUGGAGUGAUUCGAGUUUGUCCCCAUUCAGCUAUUUCUGAAAUAGGAACCAAGAAAUAAUAAGAAUGGUCUCACCACUCAAUGUAAUACUUAUGUCACAAUUUAUCGUAGAAGAAAAAAUCUGUUAAAAAUAUUAUGGACUAAUUAAGGCAAAAAAAAAUAUCAAGUCCAACUCAAAACACUUAUUUAUUUAAAUUAUAAAAGGAUCCACUAUGCCACCUUUAUUGUAUAUUUUCAUGUUAAUUAAAAAAAAAUCCCAAAAGAAAAUAUAUUUAUAUUAUCACACAAUUUUGAUCCAAUUAAAUGACACAACACUUUUCCUUAAUCUGUUAACAUUAAUAAUGUAUAAGAUCGCUAGGUAACAGCCACUGGUGACAUUUUUUAUUUAUUCGAUAGAGUGCACAACUGACUUAUAUACACUAUAAUAUGAAUCAGUAAAUUAGCUUGAAAGACAAGCCAAUUAGUUACAAGGUAUUGCAGAUUAGGUCACACUAAUAAUAAUAUAAAAUUCUCUUAUACCAUUCAUGUAGAUAAGAAUCUUAAAAAAAAACGCAGUGGCGCGUUUGAGCGGAUCAAGUCCCAAUUGUGGCGUUUACAAUCGAAACUUCAAAAUUUUCGAUUACAUCCGGUCAUAAACUUUUUCUAUCUUAAACACAAUCUUUUUUUUUUUAAAGAGUUUUUCACACUUAAAUUAAAGAUAAUACAAGCAAAAAUAGGAGAAUUAAUCUGUCUCUGAUGCCAUUGAUAACAAAAUUCGUAGCAAAAACAAUGUAUACUUGGACCAAGCAAUCGGCCGAAUGAUUAUUAUUUUACUUACGGUUACAGUACCUAUACUAAAGUAGAACAAGUCUAAUACUUCGGCCCUAAUUUUGGAGGAUUCCAUUUCUAUCUAAUAUUUGAAGGACAAAUAGAGGGACAAUUAUGGCAAAAAGCUCUACUUUUAGAGCUAUUUAUCAAAGUUUAAUCACCAAAAGUGUACAAUUAAAUGUGGUCAAUCCUUAAUGUAAAGUAAUAAUUGGAUUAAAAUAUAAUACGAGAUAAGCAUCCAGUAGCCCCUCAAGCUUUAAUCAAAGUUGCUACGACACACUCCAACUUCAUAGGGAUCCUAUACCCCUAAACUCAAUUUUAGCAUAUUUUUAUUACUUUUUUGUGCUGACAUAAAUAGGGUUCACAUCAAAAGUGUCACAUCAGCUAAAAAGAUUGACAGAAGGCGCCGUAUCAGCUAAAAAAAAUGAUAAAAAUACACUAAAAUUUAAUUCAGAAGUAAUAGGAUCCUCGUGAAGUUAGAGUGUGUUGUAGCAAAUUUGGUCAUAAUUCAGACGGUGCUAGAUGUUUUACUCAAUAGUAAAUGCACCCCUCAUUUUUAAUUAAAAAAAAAUUAAGUUAAGCUUUUAAAAGUAAACCAAGACACUCAUACGUCAACAACAUAUUAUGCAUAUUAAAUUGGAAGAUUAGUAUGUGUACAAAAAGUAUAUAAGAUUAACAUAUCUUAUUACAAUAGGCUAACAACUCUAGACAUCAAGAGUCUCGAUAGCAACAAUAUCUUCUAUAUCUCUACGAGGUAGGGGUAAGGUCUGCAUACACUUUACCCUCUCAAGACCCCAACCAUGGACUUUCAUCGGGUAUGUAAUUCAUUUCUCUCCUCGCGUCGCUUAGUUCAGUGCCAUUCCAAUCCCCCUAGGGUAGUAGAACCCAUUCCUUCCCAUACUUCAUUACAUCCCACUUCUUCGUUAUCAACGCCUUCCAUGUUGCAAUCCCACCAGCCACCUCCAUUUGCAUCUGAAAGCGGAAAAAGAUGACAUUUUUCAUUUUUACGCGAACUUAGCAGAAGAAUGAUUUCAUGAAAGAUUACGAGUUAUGUGGACUUACAAUGGUUGAAGAGUGUAUUAGGUUUCUCAAUGUUAUCGAGCAUUCUCACUUUUCUUCUCGGCUUUGCUGCUGAACCUUCUCCAAGAACUGCCAAAACCUUUCGAGCUGAUUGGGUUCCGCUGCUCCCUAGAAAACCAUUAAAAAAGAAAGAGUCAGGGCUAAACAGCAUGAAUUCGUUGAUCACUUCUUGAGAAUGCACCAAAUGCAAGAACAUGUAACAUUUUGAGACAGAAAAUACUUUCUCUGAGCAUAGGAACUGAACAAACAGUAGUUUUUUUUUUGCUACUAACCCGAUAAGAUUUCUGUGUUUGGGUGGUGGGUUUGAAUUCUUCCAUUUCCAAUCUUCAUUACAACAUCAAAGACAAAGGCAAAGCCACGAUUUGAUGGGUUCUAAAUUCUAGGAUAGUGAUAUCAGGUGUUAGUAACUAAGUUCAAAUUUAACUUUUGUGUAUAGUUAGUGGACUUGAUAUAAAUACAAGAUUUGGACUGAAGCUACUGAAUUCGGCCAAACCUGUAUAUAACUUUCUGGCUCUAUCCCUAGCAAAGACGAUCCUUGAAACUUUUAGGCGUUGUUUGGUUGGGAAACUAGUUAUCCAGUGAUUAACUAUCCCGAGAUUAGUUAUCCCACCCUCAAGAAGGCAUAAAAAUAACACUAUAAUCACGGGAUAAUUAAUCCCCGGAUGAGUUAUCUCAUGCAUUUUAUCCCAACCAAACAUGGGAUAAGCUCAUUUUAAAGUUAAUCUCGGGAUUAGUUAUCCCUUAUCCCUUCUACCAAACGACCCCUAUCUAAAGGAUUUCCAUCUUUUUUUGGUAAGUGCUGGAUUAACGCUAUUUUUUAGGGCUUAAGCAAUGGACAAUGAUCCAACCUUCCCAAGGCCCAUGAUACUGGAUUAACACUGGUUUUGGGAACUACUGGAUUAAUGUUGGAUUAACGAUGUUUUGGGGAUAUGCGGAAUUAAUGUUGGGUAUGGUACUGUUGGUGUUGUAAGAGAUGGACAAUGAUCGCGCCCAAUGGCUGACCUAAUGGUCUAUGAAGUGGUUGAGAACUAUGAGGUCUCAGGUUCAAAUCCGAGGAGAGAUAUAAAAACACUAGCUUUCCAUUUCUCCUAGCAAGAGUGGACAGAGUUACGUAUUUGUUGGUGGGAGGGUUGCAAGUAUCCCGUGAAAUUAGUUGAGGCGCGCAAAAGUUAGCCCGCUCACUAUGUUCAUUUAAAAAAAAAAUAGACAACUUUCUCCAUGUAGCAACACUCUUAACUCAAGACUCGAGAGGAAUAACCCCUUUGACUUCUAGAGUUCAACAUUUCUCCAAGUACAACAAGGUAUUAGUAUUGGAAAUAUUAGCAACUACUAUACAUAAGUAGUAUUUUUCUGUUAUGUCAUCCAACUCCUUGUUUACUAUGCGUUAUCUUGAGCCGGGGGCCCAUCGGAAACAGCCUCUCUAUUUCUUCGAGGUAGCGGUAUGGUCUGCGUACAUCUUACCCUCCCCAGACCCCACUUUGUGGGAAUGCAGUAGGUUUGUUUGUUGUUUGUUGUUAUACAUAAGUAGUAUUAUACAGAAGCAAUUCCAACUAACAAAAGAUUGAAUUGAAAUUUAGAAUCAGCAGCUUAUUAGUUGCUUGGGAAGCAAAGGUCAAAUGACACAAGUAUUAGCUUCUUGUUUUACUGCGCAUCUAUGUUAGUUACAGGAACAAGCUCGGAUACUCGGAAAUGAAUGUUACCGAAAAAUAUUAGUACCAAAGACGAUCUCAUGAAAGCUAAUUCAUCAAGAAAAUAAGAUGAGCACAACAAACAUGUGAACAGCUGAACUCAUUCAUUUCUGAAGGAACGACUAACCUUCAGUAAGGCCUCUUUUUCUUGAUGUUCUAACAUCAUCUGUGAAGGAAACGGAAACCUCACCAGAAUCGUUAGGAGCAGAAACAUCUUGGUUCCCUUUCAUGGUGUUCUUGUAUUGUUCAAAAAUAGCAUCAAGAGCACAUGGAACUCCUGUUUCUCCAUAUUUUGAACGGUUGAUUUGUCCAUUAAUGCUCUUACUUGUGUCUUUACUGCUUGUUGGCACCGAGAACUUCUUCUUUCCCUGCAAAUGGUUAGGUCCCAUUUACUCUUAAAUCUACUAAGGUAAAUUAUUGUACCAGUAGAGAAACUUCACACCCUGAUAUGGACAAACCUAUAAUGAUUUCUACAGGCUGUUCAGGGGACAGUUCCAUGUUCCAAAUAAAUGCGAAAAUAGAACGCUGCUUAUUGUAGUUAUAUUGAACGGAGAUGACAUAAUUGACAUAAGUAAAAACAAAACCAAGGUUUAGAUCCUUUCUAAUAGUUGAUAUUAUUUAGCUGGUAGCCCUCGUUAUCUCUUCCAGUUAUAUACUCAAGUCUUGAGGUGAUCUGAAAGAUAAAUUUAGCUUAGAAGAAGUAACCAUAUUUAGUCCAUCGUUGAAGGCAUUAAGUGCACUUCCGUGAACGAAUUCCAGAAUCAACUAUUCAAAGAAUGAGGAACAUAUUUGCUCUUAAAAGAACUUUAAAUUUAUCUACACAUAUACAUAACCGAGCCUGAAACUGUGGAUGCAGGUCCAUCCACUGCUUGUGUUGUAUUGGCUCAAAUGUUCUACAUUCAGCUACAAUGUGAAAUCUUGAAGUACAACAACAAUAUACGCAGUGUUAUCCCACAAGUGGGGUCCGAGGAGGAUAGACCUUACCCCUACUUCUUGGAGGUAAAGAGGCUGUUUACGAAGAACCCUCGGCUCAAGUGCAGCAAAUCAAAGUAGUUAUGAAAAGAAAAAACGACAGCGAAGAAGACAUAGCAACUAAUAAGGUAAACAAUUGAGAGCAUUCGGAGAAGAAACGGUAACAACAGAUGAUAGUAGAUAUCAAAAGCAAGAAAACGCAAUGACAACAAACAAACAGGACAGAAUUUCCAACUCUUCAAAAAAACAAAAUUCUAGCAUUUUCAUGAGAAGGCAACAACAUACGCAAUGUAAUCCCACAAGUUGGUGUCUGGGGAGGAUAGUAUGUAGUACACAGAUCAUACCCCUACCUUGGAAGGUAGAGUAGUUAUUUCUGAUUGACCCUCAGCUUUCGCGAGAAGUCAGAAACUACAAGACUACGGCUAAUGUGAAAUCUUGAAGUGAUAGAACAGACAAGCAGGAAAAUUUCCAAUUUUGAAGUUUCUUCUUUUAUUUCUAGCAUCUUCAUUAGAAAACAACGAUGACAUACCCAGUAUAAUCCCACAAAUGGGGCUUGAGGAGGAUAGUGUCUACACAGAUCUUACCCUUACACCUUGGGAGGGAGAGAGGCUAUUUACAAUAUACCCUCAGCUUUCAUGGAAAGACAGAAACUAAAAUAAUUUAGCUUUCUUACCGGAACUACUCCAGGCAAAACAGGACUUUUGUGCAAUUUUUUGCUGAGGAAGUCAGAUAGAGAUAUGCUUGAACCCUUUUGAUUGGCAGCUUUGCUUUCCACUUUCUUCUCACAACCAGUAGACCUUAACAAAGGACAAAAAAUGAAAAACAGAUACGAAACACCGCCCAGAAAGCUAAAAAUGGAGAGAUUUAACAAAACAACUGAAGUUCAUUCAUAGAAGUUAAAUUAAGCACCAAAAGCGAAACCCCAGAUCACAAAAGAGACCCCAGCAAGUUAAAAAACAAACAUAGUCAACACUAAGCUGAAACUGUGUUACGUGAUGUCUAAUCACUUCUACCGAUACUCAGUCUACCUCUACCCCUCCUAAUUCAUCCAUAGUCAACCUCUCGCAAACAAGAAAUCAGAAUUUUAAGCAACAAAGGUGAAAGCUCAAAUCCCCAAUGAGUAAAAAGAGGAAAUUUGAAGCAAUAAGCAUCAAAAGCGAAACCCAUAUCACAAACGAGACCCAACAAGCUAGAACAACAAGAAAUCUAACCAAAAAUGUGAUUUUUUAAGCAACAAAAGUGAAACCCCAGAUCACAAAAGAGACCGAACAAGUUAAAAGAAACAAUGAUUUUAAGCUACAAAAGUGAAACCUCAGAUAACAAACAUGACCAACAACAACAACAUAUCCAAUAAAAUCCCACAAAUGGAGUCCUGGGAGGAUAGAGUGUACGCACACCUUGCCACUACUUCGUAGGUGUAGAGAGGUUGUUUCCGAAAGAUCCUCGGCUUAAGUGCAACAAUUCACAAACAAGACCCAACAAGUCAAAAGAAAAACCAGAAAUCUAACCAAAAAUGUGAUUUUUAAGCUACAAAAGAGAAACCCCAGAUCACAAACACGACCAACAACAACAAGAAAAUAGCUCAGAAACCACAAACAGACAAACACUUAGUGAAAUCUUACAAGUCGAGUCCAGGGAGAGUAGAGAGUGCGCAGACCUUACCACUACCUCGUGAAGGGAAAUAUACUGUUUCCAAAAGACCCUCGGCUCAAGUGCAACAAAUCACAUACAAGACCCAACAAGUUAAAAAAGAAGAGUUUCAUUUCUUAUGUGAUGUCUAAUCACCUUUCUCGAUACUUAUCCAGUCUACCUCUACCCCUCUUAUAAUCAUCCAUGGUCAACCUCUCACAAACAAAAAAUGUGAAUCUUAAGCAACAAUAGUGAAAGCCCAGACCCCAAAGAAGUAAAAAGUGAAGUUAAUUCAUAAAAGAUCAAUUAAGCACCAAAAGCUAAACCCCAGAUCACAAACAAGACCAACAACAACAACAACAUACCCAGUCUCUUCCCAUAAAGUGGGAUUUGGGAGGGGUAAAGUGUACAUAGUCCAUACCACUACCUCAUAUGAAGUAGAGAGGUCGUUUCUGAUAGACCUCCGACUCAGGACGGAUAACAUUAUAGCGAACAAAAAACGUAAAAGCAAACAACAAAAAGGGAUAUCACACCGCUAGAUAAUAAAGGAAACAAGACACCCACAAGGUAAUACUAUAAACUAGCUAUACAAAAAUCAUAGACAUCACCAAAACACCACUAACAAGAGACUACAAGAAACUACAGGUACAAAUACGAACAAAACACUAUUCCCUACUAUUACGGGCGUACUCCUCCCUACUAACCCUCUACCCUAAACUAUCCUACACAUCUUCCUAUCAAGAGUCAUGUCCUCUGUAAGAUAUAACUAAUCCAUGAGAUCACAAACAAGACCCAACAAGCUAAAAGAACAAGAAAUUUAUCCAUGAGAUCACAAACAAGACCCAACAAGAUAAAAGAACAAGAAAUUUAACCAAAAAUGUGAAUACCCCAAAUCUCAAACAAGGCACAACAAGUUAAGAAACAAGAAAUCUAACCCAAGAAAGUGAAUUUUUAGGAACAAAAGUGAAACCCCAGAUCACAAAGAAGACCCAACAAGCUAAAAAAAACAAGAAAUUUAACCAAAAAAGUGAAUACCCCAGAUCUCAAACAAUACAACAAGUUAAGAAACAAGAAAUCUAACCCAAAAAAUUGAAAUUUCAGCAACAAAAGUGAAACCCCACAUCACAAUCAAGUCCAACAACAACAAAGUACCCAGUGAAAUUCAACAAGUCAGAGUCUAGAGAGGGUACAGUGUACGCAGACCUUACUCCUAAUAGAAAAAUUGUUUCUGAAAUCGGCUCGAGUGCACAAAAUCACAAACAAGAAAUUCUACAAACAAUAAAUGAGUACAAUCACUUACUGAUUUGGAGAACGAAAAAGGAAAGUUGAAGCAAUUGAACGUUGUCCUAAUGGUAGAAUUUCAGGUUGUUUUUUCAUCUUCUUGGGCCAAAUUUUUCUUGAAAAUGGAAUUUAUGCCAAUUUGUAUUAUAAUUUUGGCGCAAAAUAUUUGAAAAUUUUAGGGCAAAAAACGAAAAGGAAAAUAAUAGUAAUAAUUUAAAACAAAAAGACUUUGGGGUGAGAGAGGCUCGAACUCUCGACCUCAGGAUUACUCAGAAGCUAUGAGACCUACGCGCUAGCCAACUGCGCCACCACCCCACUGAUGUUGUUUGAUUGUCUAAAAUUCUAUUAGUUCUCUUAUAUUAAACUAUAAAAAUUUAUUAGGACAAAAUAAAAAUAUGCUAUUCAAUUUAUAACGAAUUAAUAAGGAAAAAAUAUAAAAUAAAAUAGAACUGAGGGAGUAGUAAAGUAACCGCAAUUGACUUAUUUCUCAUUAGCUUACGCACAUUUUAACUAAUUCCACGCGGGAUACCUUUCACUAGGAAUAGGUAUGAGGUAAUAACUCUUAUUAUCAAGGUAGGAUAAGAUGGAAAGAAAUCAUUAGUGUUUUAUCUCUGUUAGGAUCUAAACCUGAAACGUCAUAUAGUUCCCAAACAACUUACUGACCACCGGGCCACACCUUUGAUGAAUGCAUAGUUAGAAUGCUUGUUAUUUGUCCAUUCACGAAGUACAGAAAAAAAAAACGACAACCCGAUGCAAAAGAUCUCGCUAUGGGCAGGGUCUGAGGAAAGACACCACAAGGGCGUAUUGUACGCAACUGUACCGUGCAUUUUUGGCAAAUGCUGUUUACAAGGCUUGAACCCGUGAUCACUAGAUCACGUAACAGCAACUUUAUCAAUUCACGAAAAGGACUAACAAUGCAAAUUAAAAAUAGGUGAGGGGCAUCGUAGAAACUUGAAAAAGAAUACUAAACAAGGAUUGUGGUGGGAUAGAUAAGAUCCUUUACUUAAAAAUCCUUAUAAGGAAUGCUCUUCGCUUUAAAUAAGUCCUGGACGGUGUAAAUUCAAAUUUGUCAAAGCAAAGCUUUAAUUUAAUACGAGUAUCGAACAUCAAAUACAAAACCAAAAAGAGAAAAAGAAUAAGUCCAUGUUUCUCACUUUUCCCUUACUAUAUAUGAGAAAGCUUUGCAAAGCAAAGCAUAUAUAGUACUCAUAAUAAUAUUUCUAGGUGUAUAAUUAUUUGUUUUUAAUUUCUUUGAGCUCCCUAAUAUUUCCAAACUUGGAAAUUCCACUUGGUUCAUGGAUAUUGAUCUCCCUAGUGUUAUUGGGGGGUGUUUUAAUUUUCCUUUGCUUAUUCUUCAACUUUUUUCAUGGCAAAAACAAUCACACAACCACAAGUUCAACUUCUUUUUUUCUUUCUGCUACUACUCAUAAGUACUUAUAUUUCAGUAUUAAACGUAAAAGCCCUUCGAGAGUACCCUCCAACAAGCAAAAAUUCCACCAUGCAAGUUCUUUCGAAACAAUCAACUACUAUCACUACCACCGCCACUAUUGUCAAUGCAACUACGGUGGCUGCAGCCACUCGUAAUUCGAGCCAGCAAUUUCGGGUGGUGGCUCAUAAUGUUCCUAGUGGUCCAAAUCCCGAGUCCAACAGAUGAAUCCGAGCCAUUGAUUAGUUUCUGUUUAUUUAUGCUCAAUUAAUUUGAAUUUGAACCAGACAGAGCCUAUUUAUAGAAGAAGCGCUCUCUAUCAGAAGUUUUUCUGUUAAGAGAUGGGAUGUUUUUUUUAUAAUUUUGCUAUAGAAAAAGGUAUUGUUACUUGCUAUUGUUGAACAUUUUUAUGUUUUUCUGCUUAUAAUAAUGUAUAUGAAGAAUAUAAUAUAUAAAAUACUUUGUUUUAGUUGUGUUAUUUAUUCAUAUCAUAAAUUAUUAAUAUCUCAGUCGUCCUUUUCUGUUUUAUCCACCCACUUAUUAAUAAAAUUUUAGUUUUGCUUCUUAUUGAUAAUAUUUGAUUAAAAAUAUUUAACUUUAAUUACUCAAGAUGUGUAUUUUUGAUCUCUUUGCUUGUGAAAGCAAAUUUUCAAAAUUAUUAACUGUAUAUCCACCUCCACCAUUUGAUUAUUGUAUUUGUUAUAUUAAGUUUGCAUUAUUGCUUCAUAUUUUAGGGUACUAUACCUCAACAAUAACCAAAUAUAAAAUAUUUUCUACAUAAAGAGACCAAAAAAUAAAUCUCAAUUUAAAUGUAACAAAAGCAGUAUAGUAAUUACAAAAACCAAAACCAGAAUGAUGGACCAAAAAUACUAUUAUUUCAUUUUAUAUGAUCUUCUAUAAAGUGUUAGGUAAUUUAAUUAGGGGCGGGCAUGGUUUGAUAUAGGUGUACUAACUUUGAUUCGAUAAUUUCAGGUUUCCUUUUUAAAAAUACUAAAUUAUUAUCCUAUUGAAUUAUUUGGUAUGGUUUAGCAAUAUUAUUUUAUAUAAUUUUUAAUAUAGAUGAAUUAAAUAUGUAUCUUUAUACUUCGGUAUCCUAUUGAAUAUCAAAUCAUCGAUAUCAAAUAUUUUGAUUUCAAUAUGAUAUUUGAUAUCUACUGUAUCGUGUUCACUCUUGUUAUGAAUUCAAGUCUAUAUGUUUUGUCAUAUUUAAUUUUUAUUCUUUUAAAUUAAAACUAUUUAUAUUUAAAUUGAAUUUAUGUCAUGUGACAUGAAAAUUUCAUGAAUUAAUUGUAGGCAGUGAUUCAGAUAUGAAAAAGUUGAGCCAUCUAAAUAGAGCAGUGGUGUCAGAUCUCUUUGGAUACACUGAUAUAUUUAACUUUUACUUCUUGUUUUAUUCUUGAAAAUAAUAGUUCAUGGAUUUUUCCAUUUGUCUUGUCAAUUAGGUGGGCCAAAUACAAAAAUAAUAAGAGUAAUUAUUUUUUAAAAAAAUUCAGUUUAUCAGAAAGACAAAUAAGUUUGAACUGAUACAAUAAUUGUAGCAGUAUGAAACCAAAUCAUUAUGAGUUCAACCAGCUGGUGAAAUCAGAAAUUUCGUUAAAAAUAUUUAAAAUCAAAUAUGUAUAUAUAAUAGUAGCUUUUGAUAUAUAAAUGUGAAAUAAUUUUCAUUAUACAAGGUAUAAUCUUUUGAUAAAAAGUGUUCAUUGAUUCAUUUUGAUUGGUCCUUCUAGCUCAAUCGCUGAAUUUAACCUGCAAAAUUAUGGUACUCCAUGUAUUUUGGAAAAAAAAAAUAAUUAAUUUUGAAUUUAGAAACGUUUCAUUUUAUAUAAAGACGUUAAGUUAUGGCGACUGUGAAUUAUAAGCUGAAAAUAUAUGGACUUAUCUGGCAAAAAAAGGUGAUCCCUUAUAGUCUAUAAACACGACAUAAUUUUUACUAUAUAAAGUAUAAUCUUUCGAUAAAAGGUGUUCAGUUGACCUCCUUUGGUCUAUGUAGCUCUGCCACUGAGUUCAACGUGCAAAACUAUAGUACUCCAUGUCUUUUUAUAAAAAAUAAAUUUAUUAUUAAAUUUAAAAACAUCUCAUUUUAUAUAAUUAAAGACAUUAAAUUAAAGUGAUAUAUUCUAAAGACGUGCGAAUUAAGCUCAAACAUAUGGACUUAUAUGGCAAAAAAGGUGACAAUAUAUAUAUGUUAAAACAUUUUUCUUCAGAUAUGAUUGCUACAUUUUAUGUGAGCUCAUAGAGUGGUGGAUAAGGCAUCUUUAUCAAACUUCAAUUCACUUCUCAUAGCAUUAAUUUACAUAGUACUCUCCCAUCCAUUUUUACUUGCAGUUUAGAAAAUUAAGAAAUAAUUUAUGGACAAAUGAAAAUUAUUCGGAUGAUAAAUAUUUUUCACUUUUAAUUUUAGGAUUGUGAAUUCGAGUUAGCAAGGGAGCUGAGCAUAAAUUGAGUCAUUUCUCAAUGUGUUUUUCAAAAUGUUAAAAGAGUAAAUACAUAAAUACCCCCUGAUCCUGUCCAAGUUUUACAAAAAGAUACCUAAACUUUAACUUCGACUUAUUACCCCACGAUUCUUCUUUAUUUCGUUGCAAAUACAUCAUUUUUCGCUGAAUCUCAAUCACAACAAAGAGAAUGACUGCACGCACCAAUCAGGUGCUGCCACGAGUUAAAUAUAUUUAAUUUCAUAUUUUAUUUAUUUUUUUAAUAAACUUUUUCUUUUUAUUUAAUGUAUCACCCACCCCACCUCCCUCUUCCCCCUUCCCCACGCCCAGUUCUCUCCAUUAAAAUGGAGCUUAAAGCUCCUCUACAAUCUCCAUUUUAACGGAGCUUUAAGCUUCAUUUUUAUUUUAUUUAUGACCCCACCCCACCCCACCUCCACCCCUACUCCAUUCAAGAUCUCCCUCUCCCAUCCCCGUCCCGUUUCCUCCAUUAAAAUGGAGUUUAAAACUCUAUUAAAAUGGAGAUUGUACAUCAGCUUUUCUUUUUUAAAUUAUGGUGAUGAUGAUGUUGUUGUUGUUGCUUUAAUUGAUGUUGUUGUUAUUGUAAUUGAUGAUGUUGUUGUUGUAAUUGAUGUUGUUGUUAUUGUAAUUGAUGAUGUUGUAAUUGAUGUUGUUAUUGUUUUAAUUGAUGUACUUGUUGAGUUAUGGUGAUGAAGAAGAAGUUGGUGAAGAAGACAAUGGUGGGUAGGGGUUGCGGGAUGGGUGGUAGGUGUGGGGGUGGUUUAUGAAAUAAUUUUAAAAAAUAAAUAAAUAUUAUUUUUUUUUAAAAAAAGAUAAAUUAUAUAUCAAAAUUUUUACACAUGGUAGUUUUUAAUUGGUAGAAAAAGUUAAAUUUGAGCCCUUUCACGCGCCUGUGAUGCGUGUAUACACGCAGAGGUCUAAAAUGAUGUAUUUGCAAUGAAAUAAAGAAGAAUCGUGAGGUAAUAGGUCGAAAUUAAAGUUUAGGUGUCUUUUUACAAAACUCGAACAAGAUCAGAGAGGUAUUUAUGUAUUUAGGUACUAAUAUAGUAAAAUUCUCAGUUUAUUUAUUAUUUCUUAAAAAAUAUGUCAAAUUAAUACUGAACAAAUAAAAAUAAACGAAGAAAGUAGUUUACCAUACAAAUAGAUGCUGCCAAAAUCUUGCUGGAAAAAACAUCAAAUCAACUAGUAUUUUGCCUUCCCAGCUCCUUCCAACUUGAACUCUCACCCUUUUUUCCCCUUUGGGUGUGUGAGGCGGAGCUGCUUUGGAGCCAGGGUUCAUUUAAAUCUUCUUAGUAAAAAAUUAUAUGUAGUAGACGACGGAUUUCUUUUUGCUAGUUCUUAUAUUAACCUUUUUAUAUUUUGAACUCUCUAGUGAAAAUCUGAUUGGGGAUGUCACCCUAGUAAAUGUUGAGUUCCCACCUAGGUGGAUGUAGUGGCGAAGCGAGUAAUUUUAUUAAGGUUACUUUCUAUGUGGCUACGCCACUGGGGAGGUGAUAAGUUAUUUGAUCUUUUUAUAUUAUUUUUGGUUAAUUAUCCUCACUUCAUGAGCUAUAGUAUUUGAGGCUAAGUUAAACUCAAAAUUAUUUAUUUUUUUUGUUAUGAUAUCGGACUAGGUCUAUAUUUCAAAUUAUGAUUACUCUAUGUUAUUCAACUAUUUAAUUUUUGAAAAAUUUCAGAGAUAAGCAUCUAGUAUCCCUGAAUUAUAAUCAAAUUUGUUACGAUACAUUUCAACUUUACGGGAGUCCUAUUAUCUCCUGAACUAAAUUUUAAUGUAUUUUUUGCCAAUCUUUUUAAUUGAUGUGGCAUCUUUGGACAACUAAAUAAGAACCGGUGCAAAACACGCGUCUUUAUUACAUAAAUGAGGCCUACAUUCCACUAUCUUUGACAAGUUGAUAAAUUUUUUAGCUUUCAAUAAUCAUACUUUACCAAAAAUUGAUCUACUUUACUAAAAUGAUUCACUUUACACUAUGGGUGUCAAACGGGCCGGGACGGGCCAACCCGGAACCGGCCCUUAUAUUUUAACAGGGUUGAGGGCCGGUUAAGGGUCGAUUUUGGAGCUAGAUGGGUUGGGCCUGACCAAACAAUAAAAAAAUUAAAACUCACCCUAACCCGGCCCACUUAACCCAACCCGGUUAAACCCACCAAAACCCGAUCAAAACCGGUCAAAAAUAUAAAAAAAAAAAACUUUCUUUCAAUAUACAUUACAUAUACCCACCUAUAUACAUUAUAAAUACGUUAAAUAAUAUAUAUAUACACUAUAUAUAUAGUAUAUACUACAUUAGAAUUUAAAAAAUAUAUACACAUAUACACAAUUAGUCAAUUACUCAUCUAUACCCACCAUUCAAUGUAUAUAUACUACUACUUAUAAAAUAUACUACAAUAUAUAUACAUUACAAUAUAUANNNNNNNNNNNNNNNNNNNNNNNNNNNNNNNNNNNNNNNNNNNNNNNNNNNNNNNNNNNNNNNNNNNNNNNNNNNNNNNNNNNNNNNNNNNNNNNNNNNNNNNNNNNNNNNNNNNNNNNNNNNNNNNNNNNNNNNNNNNNNNNNNNNNNNNNNNNNNNNNNNNNNNNNNNNNNNNNNNNNNNNNNNNNNNNNNNNNNNNNNNNNNNNNNNNNNNNNNNNNNNNNNNNNNNNNNNNNNNNNNNNNNNNNNNNNNNNNNNNNNNNNNNNNNNNNNNNNNNNNNNNNNNNNNNNNNNNNNNNNNNNNNNNNNNNNNNNNNNNNNNNNNNNNNNNNNNNNNNNNNNNNNNNNNNNNNNNNNNNNNNNNNNNNNNNNNNNNNNNNNNNNNNNNNNNNNNNNNNNNNNNNNNNNNNNNNNNNNNNNNNNNNNNNNNNNNNNNNNNNNNNNNNNNNNNNNNNNNNNNNNNNNNNNNNNNNNNNNNNNNNNNNNNNNNNNNNNNNNNNNNNNNNNNNNNNNNNNNNNNNNNNNNNNNNNNNNNNNNNNNNNNNNNNNNNNNNNNNNNNNNNNNNNNNNNNNNNNNNNNNNNNNNNNNNNNNNNNNNNNNNNNNNNNNNNNNNNNNNNNNNNNNNNNNNNNNNNNNNNNNNNNNNNNNNNNNNNNNNNNNNNNNNNNNNNNNNNNNNNNNNNNNNNNNNNNNNNNNNNNNNNNNNNNNNNNNNNNNNNNNNNNNNNNNNNNNNNNNNNNNNNNNNNNNNNNNNNNNNNNNNNNNNNNNNNNNNNNNNNNNNNNNNNNNNNNNNNNNNNNNNNNNNNNNNNNNNNNNNNNNNNNNNNNNNNNNNNNNNNNNNNNNNNNNNNNNNNNNNNNNNNNNNNNNNNNNNNNNNNNNNNNNNNNNNNNNNNNGUGUCUCAACAAUAUUUUCAUUAUCUUCGUCUAAAUUAAUUGCAUCUACUUCAUUUUCUUCUUCUAUACCGUAAUUUUCCUGAGCUUCUACAUAAUCCAUAUCGUGAGCACCUACACCUAUUUCUUCCUCAAAAGGUGUACCAAGCGGUACCGGAGGCGAAGGCACACGGGUAUAUCUACUACUUGAACUACCUCUACCGCUAGUAAUUUGCUUUUUACUACCACUACCGCUUCCGGGACAAAAAAUUUUAACAUCUUUAGUAGCGAGGUUUCUUAAUUUAUCCAUAAUAUAAAUUAAAUUAAACUAAAAAUAUUCAAAAUACACAAAUAUAAUAAAAUUAAAUAUUAAACAAUUAAUACAAUAAAUAAAAAUUAAACGUAAGAGAUGGAACGACAAUACCAAAUUUUGGAAGUAUCCGAAGAUUGCGACUUUAGAAACUUUCGCUCGUACUUUGUAAACGAAAAAUUAAAAAAUUAAAGUGAACACUUUAAGAAAUUAAAUAUAUUGAAUAUUUGAGAAUUGAGAAUUGAGAUUUGAGAGAGAAUGAGAUUUGAGAGAGUGAAAAAUUGUGUGAAAAAUGAUUUGAAGUUGUAGGGUAUUUAUAGAAUUUUUUUUGGGAUUAAAAAAUAUUUUUAAAGUUAAUUGUUUUUUUAAUAAAUGGGCCCAAACUAGCCAUUUAGACCCAAAAACGGCUAUAUAGCCGUUGGGCCAACGGCUAGUUUGGCCCAAAAUCUCAUUUUUUUAAAUUUUUUUUUUAAAGAAAGGUAUCUGGGCCGGGCCGGUUAACCGCGCGGGCCUGGACCGAGCUUGGUCCGGAUCGGGUUAGCCGGGCCCAUUUUAAAAAAAUAACCGGCCCGGGACCCAGAACUCUAAAGCCCUAAGGCUUAUCGGGUCGGGUCAAAUUGGGCCGGAUUAGUUACAAGGACCGGCCCGGCCCACUUGACACUCUUACUUUACACAUUACCAAAAAUCAUAGAAUCGAUUUUGAGAUUCGCUUUGCCUAAAUCGAUCGUAAAUAUCAGUGUUAAACUAGUAAGUAUUAUGUAGGCUAAAAUUUGGACCGAUUUUGUGGUGUAAUAUUCAAAGGUUUCUUUUGAAUCAAUUUCAAAUUUCUAGGAAAAUCUUCACAUUGAUCAUUGGAUCAUUCUUCUCCAUAUACAACUUAUUCAACUCGGAUUUUGUCAUUUUGAACCCUACAAAUAUUGAGGAAGAAAAUUCAAAAAAUAGAACGUAAAUAUCAACAUAGAAUGGCAUAAAGAUAAGAAAUUUACACGAAAUUACCUAAUAAUUUUGAGUGAAGGAGCAAUUUGAAGAAGAAAAAUGGAUUUAAUAGAGAUGAAAAUGGGUCAAAGAUAAAGAAAAAGGGUUUUUAUAGAAGGAAUUUAAUAUUCAACUUUGAAAAUGUCACGUGGCUAAUUUUUAUUGCUUAUAGAGACAAAAUCGCAGUCCUUCACGCGUCUUGGGUGUUUAACUUCAUACAAGGUGUCACAUCAGCAUAAAAGGUUGACAAAAAUAUGUGAAAAUUGAGUUCAGGAAGAUAAUAGAACCCCUAUGAAGUUGAAGUGUAUUGUAGCAACUUUAAUCAUAGUAAAAGAAUAUUAAAUACUUGCCUCAAAAUUUCACCUCAUAAACUAACCUUUUUGGAGUUUAAGUUAGAUGGAUCAAAGGUCCAUUUAUAGUGGUUCAACAUCAGGCAAUGAUAACAGCAUUAUCCAAAUAUAUAAAUAUGAAAAUGAAAUAAAGAAUAAAAAUAAAAGAGCAGAAAGCAAAACAACAUAGAAGGUCAACAAAUUGCAAAACCAUUUAAUUUAACACACUUUGGAGAAGUAGAGAACUACAUUUUUUAUUAAUAAUAUGGUUGGAUAAUACAAUAGUCCCUAAGCUUUACAUGUCACAUGUAAAAAAGCUUUUAAGGGACAAAGUGACUUUAAAUGUAAUAGGUAAAUGCUAUAUUCUUGUUCAAGUACAAUUUUUACUAAGUACUCAAACAUAUAAAUAGGAUUACAAAAGUACAUAUAUAACACUUUUGAUCACUUUCUUAGUACAUGCAAGAUAUUGGGGGAACUAUAUGUAUGUUGAUCAAUU
rnacentral:lncRNA from 1 species